rnacentral:lncRNA from 1 species
ACUCAAAACCUCAGGGGUAAAAUAAAUUUAAUCCAUUAGAUAAUUUCAUAAUUUAUGCAUUUCAUCUUAGCGUGACAAAUAGAUCAGGGUUUGUACUCCAAGACUUGACUACUCAUCUUCGUACUAUGCUAGCAAACAAAGACGAUGAAAAGACAUGAAGAUUUGAAAGCUGAAAACACCAGAAAUAAACAUGUCGUGAUUGUAGUGUGCAAUCAAAGCAAUCAAAUCCAAAUUAUAUAUCAAAGUUAUAAUCAAAACGUUAAUGUAAAAUGAUUGGUAUGCUAUGUAUUAGGGUGGGGGGCCAGAAAUGUCGAUCAAAUAGUGAGAGGUUAGUGAUGGCUGCACGCACAAGUGUUUGAUGCAGGAGAGAAAAUGGCUUUGCGAGGAUAAGGGAGUCGAUUGCUACAACAAAUCACAUCCAAUAAUAGCUGUAAACUGCUGUAAACACUUCUCCUUGGCAUUUUAGUGGUGAGCUAUUCAUAAUCAUAUAGCAUUUAACUGCUUGGCUCGAUUGGUUUCAACUCGAUCAAUUCGAUAUACAUUGAAAUUAAACUCAUUUCUCCACAUUCAAUUUUUCAUCAUGCUUAAGUUAGAUCAAGAUGCACGUCGUUUACGUUAUUUUUUUUGUAUGAUGUAUAUCUUAUCUUAAAUAAUUGUUUGAUAAUAACGAGUCAAAUUGUCUAAAAAUAGAACAUUUAUGUCCAAUACCAUUUGGUUUAGCGACAUAAUUUCUCCUUAAUAAUUGGAAGGUUGUGAGUUCGACUCAUGAAAAAUUAAUGAUAACAUUUGAGUUAUUUAUCCGAUAAAAAAAAAAUAGAACAUUCAUCAAAUUACCAGCUUAGCUUACGUACGCGUUUUAGGGGACAUUAAACUUUUCCAGGUUAAUUACUAGCUUAGCUCGGACAUUCAGCUCUUCUAGUCGGUAUGGAUGUCUGGACUUAAUUAAGAACCUGAUCUCUAUCGCAAUAUACCAAUAAGUCAAUAACCAAGACCCUAGCUCAUGAUUCACUUUCCCAAAAAAGACAUGGAUGCAAAUAUAACGGAAUUAAAUUAUUAGACUUUCCUAGAGUAUGUGACUAAUUAUUAACACCCACGGCCACCUUCCAUAACAUGUCUGCCAUUACUUGAGCCAUACGGCAUAUGACUUAUAGUCUUAUACUCUUAUAUAUAUGUGUGCGUAUGACAAUAAUGCUGAUUCAGCUGCAAGUGUCUUAUCAUAACCAAACUUCUAAUUUGGAAUACCAAACACAUUUUAAGACGUCCUCCAAGUGAAUGAGAAUAAACACCUUCCCAUUCUUCUAUGUAUACAUGCUCUGAUAUUUGGGACAAGUUUUGGUUGCUUUUUUGUAAAUCAUGACAAUCCAAAGUUUCUUCUGUGUUAAGGGACAUCUAUUAAUGCACUUGGUACACUAACAUUGCUCAUUUUUAGUGUUGGCAAAAGCACCUCGAUCAAGAAACCCUCCCAAAACAUCUUUGGUUGUUUUAACAUUUGGAUGACAAAGACACCCAACUAGGUACGCACCGCUCCUUAUCAUUCUCUCAGUGCCCCUUUUAAGAGGGGGAUCGGAAGAGAAGCCGAGGGCCGUCCACAUUACCAUCGACAUUCCCUAAAUGCACUUGCGCAAUAUGUUAGAAAUGGUGUCGCAGUCAAACACCGAGGUUCAAUCGACGCGCAACCAAACAUUCGUCUUCCCGGCUUUUAGCAUAAUAAAGAGGUGCAAGGCUCAUGUAACGCGGCGGCUUAGAUGCUAGUGUGGUUGCUGGAUGUUCCCUCCUACGCAAGAAACACACUCAAAAUGUGACUCAAACCAAGUAUAAUGCCCAUUAACACACAGAAUAAACUUAGGAAAAGCACAAACCGUUCGACUAAUCCCAUGAAUACGAAAACGACCUUACAUUCUGGGAUUAAAAGCACCACUUGUGUUCAUGGACCAUCUGAGAUUGUGAUCACUGAUAGCGAUCAAAAACCAAAAUUUUCUUUUUUGUAAGUUUGCAAUGCAUUGCAUUCUUCUUUGCUUUGUUCCAGAAAUGUGUGGUGACCACCACCAAAUUGAGCGCCAUAUCUCACUCCUCCACCACUCUCCGCCGUCCACGUCGGCCGUUGCUGUUUCCAAGUAAAUUCCUCACUUCCAUACCCGCCAAGGUUCAUCGACAUGUCGUGGGGCUAGUAUGGGGUAGCGGUCGGUCACUCAGGUCCUGCUGGAGAAAUUAGCCACUGAGAAGAGGCCACGUGGAAAUGGGGGGGGGGGAAGUGGCUGCUCUGGUUUGUCUCAUAUGCCCCCCAUGAAGACUUUUAGAGGUGAAGGAGAAGAAGGGACCGAUUGAUUGCUGGCUUAACCCAAUAAAGCUUUCAGCUUUCUGCAUUAAGAGAGAGUUGAGACUUGGAGGCCUUUCCAUAACCCAUGAAGAAGAUGCUUCACGCAAACAUAAAGGAAGCGACUUUAUAGCUUCACAGUUCAAUAAUACAAGAAGAAGAAGCAUAAAAGAGACAGAGAGCUAGAGAGCUUGUGGUACCAAAAUAGUUGCUACUUAGUACUUGAAGCUUUUGCUAGAGUUUUUGAAAUGGAGAGGUAUGAGAUAGUGAAAGAUAUUGGUUCUGGGAACUUUGGUGUUGCAAAAUUGGUGAAGGACAAAUGGAGUGGUGAGCUCUAUGCCAUCAAGUUCAUUGAGAGAGGCCAGAAGGUAGAGAUUUUUUUUUUUUCAUCCCCUAUUUUUUCUUGAUCGAAGUCUUACUGUUUUGGGUUUAAGCUCAUUAAUCUCUUGUGGGUUUGUUUGUUUGUUCAUUUUUGUGAUCUGAGUUUGUGUUUAUUCCAACUGGGGUUUUGGUUUUAAUGAGGAAUUUCCUUGUGUUUUUUUACAGAUUGAUGAGCAUGUACAGAGAGAGAUCAUGAACCACAGGUCACUGAAGCAUCCAAAUAUCAUAAGAUUUAAGGAGGUAUGAUUCCUGUGUUUGAUCACACCUUUCUCAAUGAUAUGUUCUCUUUUGUGGAAUAGUACUAUUGGUAUCUCAAUGAGAAAAGAUUUGUGCCACUAACCCUAUUGGCCUGCAACUUAGAAGAAUUUUAGAAUCAAACUACUUUUUGGUCCAUCAUUCAACAUUAUUUUUCAAACUGUUUCCAAAGACUCAUUGGCCUUGGAAGAGGGCUAAAGUCAAAUAUUCAUCAUUUCCAAUUUGGCUUUGAAUUGUUCUGCCUCUCUAUCACUUGUUCUUGUUUUAUUUAAAAACUUGCGGAAAGUUUCUUGGUACAGUUUUUCUAGUACUGUAUAUCUUAUUUUCUGCUCGUAUGUGCAGGUCUUGUUAACACAAACCGAUUUAGCGAUUGUCAUGGAAUAUGCAGCAGGAGGAGAACUUUUUGAAAGAAUAUGCAAUGCUGGUAGAUUCAGUGAAGAUGAGGUAAUUGGAGCAAAGGCUGAAAUGAAUGGGAGCAGAUUUUCGUCGCGAUAAAUUUAUUUCUGUACAUUUAGGGUAUGAUAAUUUCGUUUUCUUCCAACCACAAAUCAUUUGGACUCUUAGUAGUUGAUUUGAAAUUUCAGGCCAGAUUUUUCUUCCAGCAGCUGAUUUCAGGAGUCAGUUACUGUCAUUCAAUGGUAAAAAGACUAACAUAAAAACUGUAACAUAAUUUUCUCUCUGGAAAUAUGCUUGGCCUCACAUCCUUUGCUGGUUUAAUCUGAAUGUAUUUUUAUUGCUGCAGCAAAUCUGUCACAGAGAUCUUAAACUGGAGAACACACUUCUAGAUUCAAGCUCAGCUCCACGUCUCAAAAUAUGUGAUUUCGGUUAUUCCAAGGUAAAUGAACUAAGCCGAGCAAUCAUGUUGAGUAGGGGUAAUUUUAGUUACAGUUACUAAUUACCUUUCUGCUUCAUGUUAUAGUCAUCUGUGCUGCAUUCACAACCCAAAUCAACUGUAGGAACACCUGCCUAUAUUGCACCAGAAGUCCUGUCAAAAAAAGAGUAUGAUGGGAAGGUAGUUUGUUGGUUUCUUUCUUCUGUUUUUGAGUUGGCCUUAUUGUGGACCAAAUUUUAGGUCACCGAAUUAUUGAGACUCUUAUUUUAUCUUUUGAGAAUCUUAGAUAGCAGAUGUUUGGUCUUGUGGGGUUACCCUAUAUGUGAUGCUGGUUGGUGCUUAUCCUUUUGAAGAUCCAGAAGAUCCCAGAAAUUUCAGGAAGACACUUCAGGUUCAUUGUUUUAUUGUAGUAGCAUUUUAGCUAGUUUUCCAAUUCUCGAGGCUCAAGACAUAUAACAUGCUAAUGGAUUUUGGCAGCGAAUUCUCAGCGUCAGCUAUUCAAUUCCUGACUAUGUACGCGUUUCCAGGGAAUGUACACAUCUUCUUUCUCGAAUUUUCGUUGCUAACCCCGAAAAGGUUUUACUACUUCUUAGAAUCAUAGCCAGCGAUUGAAUGUCUGUCUGUUGAUGUACAUUCCAGUUGAGUCAUUAGAAAUGUUUACCUUAACAUUUGAAUUCUAUGCAGAGAAUUACAAUCCCAGAGAUAAAGCAGCACCCCUGGUUUCUGAAAAAUUUACCAUCGGAAUUCAUGGAUGAAGAUGACAUGCAGAUUGGUGAGGUUCAGAAAAAUGAGAUUUCACAAAGUGUUGAAGAUAUAGUGUCCAUUAUUCAAGAGGCUCGAAAACUUGGUGAUGGCAUCAAAGUUGGACAUUUUCUUGGGAGCAUGGACCUUGAUGAGAUAGAUGAUGCCGACAUCGAUGAUAUAGAAACUAGUGGUGAUUUUGUAUGUGCGUUGUGAUCUGUAGUGGUGCAAAGUUCUUAUCAUAACACACCUUUAACACUUAGCAGCUUCUCAAGGCCAAAAACCUUUUUUCCCAAAAGGAAGUUGGAAGGAUGAGCCGAUGAGGCAUCUUCUUUUGAUGUUGGGGAAUCAAACUAUCUGUUGCAGAAAGUGUUGUUAUUUUCCUUUGCUUGGAAGUUUGCUCAAUCGGUCUGUUUAUCUUUUCUUCUUGUCUUUCUAAGAGAAUGCUAAUUUCAUUCUAAACAAAAUAGGACGAAUAACGUUGGAUAUUAUGAAUCAAAGUUGAAACAAUGGACUAUCAACCAAAUUGAAGUCCCUGUUAAAAGUUGAAACGAUAAAAGUAAUGCCAAGUAAACCACAUAUUAGAGGUACUCAAAGUUCCAACCCUUGACAUCUCGCAUACUAAGAUCUUAGGCUGUGUUGCUUUCGAUGUCCAUUUCUUUUUAUAGUCUACAUGAGAAAAGCUAAAUUUGCACAUUUUGGAAUUUCUUUCUGCUGGCAUCUCAUAGAAUAUCAAUAUCACUAUCUAUUAUCUACCUAAUCCAACUGCGAAUGAUUAAGACAGGGUACAUUAUUAAGAAACAAACCACAGAAAGAUCACAUAUAAUAUCAAGCUUUAUGAUAUCUUCUUAGUGGAUAGAGUUUAAAUAUCUUUCAUAUAAUAUUGCAAAGUCCAAUGGUUAGAACUUUGGAGGAAUCUGACCGAAUAAGGUGCAUUUGUAGAUUAAAUAUCCAAUAAACUGUGUCACAAUUUUGUUGCAUUCACCAUCUAACAUCGGAUUCUCAUUAAGAGAAGUUCAGAUACUUUGUGUAAAGGGGGAUUUACUUAAUUCUCAAUUUCUCAUCAUGAAAAAACUCAUUUAUGGAUAAGAGCUGGGACGGCUUUUCCAAUAUUCUGGCUUUGUUGAGAUGAUGAUCAUGAUUCAUGAAUACCCUGACAGUGAGCUUUCUGAGAGAAAGAGGAAAACAAACUUAAGCUGAUCAUCGUCCAACUUGGAAGAUGUCCACAUAUAGAAAGCAGAAGGUGAUUGCCUUCAUAGCGUGAUAAAGCAUAGUUGUUUAAAAAAAUCAGUGCAAGCAUGUUAAUUCCAGUAGUUGAGCUCAAAUGUCAACUGAAACAGCACAGUAUACAACAGUUAAUGUUUGAUACCUUCUACAGAGAAUAGUGACGACCAAGAUUACAAUGUAACUUCAGAAAGUAUUCGGUUUUUUGGGGAAAAAUCAAUAAACUUCUAAUGCCGAAUCAGGAUCAACUAGGACAGAAAUAAAAAAGUUUGGGCAUCAAUGUUUCCAAUCUUGAGUUCAAAUACCUGAAAUUGGAGAAGAGGUCAGGUUUGAACAGCAACUGUCUUGUAUCUCUUAGGCCUCUAUGUCUGAAAAGCGAUGGAUAAACAUUGAUAACCAUGCAUAAACGACGGACAUUCUCUUUUUAAGAUAACAAGAUGGAAUAGGCAGUGGUAACCAAGGUUUUCACUGUGCAUAUUGUCCUUACCUAUCAUGAUUCCGAAGAUUAAGGGUUGAAACAAAAUAUGUUUAAGUACUUGCACUACAGAAUUGUUUCUGUUUCCUUCUUUGGAGGCUGCUCUAACUUGGCAAUAUCAUCUUGCACGAUACCAUCAGUACUCAAAUGGGCAGACAAAGAAUCCGCAAUUUCUGUAAGCCCCUGUAAGAAAGUGACAAUCAGUACAAUAAACAGUAGAUCUUGAUGAUUCAAUUGUUGAGAUUCAGCAGCUGACAAGAUAGCAUAUUAUUGCAAUGUAAUCUAGAGUAUACAUCUCCCUGUCCUAUGUUCAGUGAUUCCAACCACGAUAAUGUCAAUAAACAUAAGUAAAAGGAUUCUAAGAAUACCAUCAUGCUUGGUUCUGAAUAUGAGAGCAAUCGGCCGUUCCGUGCAUUAUCAGAAAGUUUCAGUUGCUUCUGCAAGUAGAAAUAGUAAAUAUGAGUGUCCAUGAAAAUGUAAAUAGAAUAUAUAACAUUUAAAACACUGAUUCAGCUGCUUUGGAAAAUUAUUCUUUAAUCUACUAGUAAUGUUUCGUCCAAAAAAAAAAAAUCUACUAGUAAUGCAUUUCCUUAAAAUAAGCAUAAUGCUGAAGGCCCCCACAGCCACUUCGAGACCAAAAACAGAUUACACUUGCAAUUAACUUGAUGGCAGGGCAUAACUUUAAUGACGUUGUUAUCUAUCUCUGAUACAAUCAACAGUUCCUUUUCAACUUCCAUAACAGAAACAUGAAAGUACCAGCAUCAAUAAGACAUUACAGAUCCAAAGAGCAGGUACGAACCUGCAAAGCUCCAGGCAUUUCAACUUUUUUCCCGCUUACAAAGUUGCAGAGAUAAGCAACACCCAUAUUUACGAAAUCCUGCAUAGCAUAUAUAUGUCCGAACAACCUUAAGAAGACAGAAGAUGUAUAUGGUAGUUGCCACAGAAAGUUUUAUGAAGGCAAAUCCUAAUUUUACUUAAAAUGUUGCUGAAAGUUUUGAACUUGCAGAUAGGGGAAAUUAAAGUAUAAAGGAAAGCGUCAUAACACAUAAAUCCUAUAGUUUCUCAUUAAUUAGUUAUGGCUUCUCUAUUUAUUACAAAAUCAAGCAUUUACCUGCUUGUCUUCAAGAGAACAUAUCUUCCAAUCCUGAGAAAAGAGAAGAUGAAACAACGUUACAAUGAAUAAAAGCAAAAAUACAGAGAAAGAGGGAGAAAUAAUAAAGAGCCCAUGUAACACAGCAAGAAUGGUCUCAUUGAGGAGCAACAUGGAAACAUAGAGAAGACAAUCAUGUUGAAGCAUAACUCACCAGACCAGAAACCAAGCUCUGCAGUUGACUCAAGGUAAAGUCCAUUUCAGUCAGAGAAUAUUGCACCCCAGCAACCUGUGUCACAAGUUGCAAACAAAUUCAGUGAUGCUGAUAACCAAUAGUUAUAUACUCUUAUGACUAAUUUCAUACAGUAAUACUUAUUCCAACAUAUACCCAUAUCCAUAUCAGAAAUCACACACUACAGGUUUCCACUUACAUCAAAUUGGACUGACCCUUGAUAAAAACUGAACUUUGAACAUUUGAGACAUCAGACAUCAGAUAUGAGAAGUGAUGACGGAUACUUACAUAGACAUUGAAGAAACAGUUCUGUAAACUUUAACCGUAUUGAAAAUUUUCCUUUUUAACACUAAAAUUACCCACUGAACAUGGAAUUUAACAAAGAUGAGCCUCAUCAAACAUGUAAAAGGAUAAGCAUGUAUUCGAUAUAUAAUCAUUUGAUCUAAGAAUUAACAAAUAAAAGUAGCUGGCUUAAUAGUUGAUUUGCAACCAAAUAUCCUAGUGAUUUGAUAGACAAAUGAAAAUGUAAGAAGAGACGUUUGACAAGUAUUCUUUUUUCAUACCUUCAAGCAUUCAGGUAGCAUGAAGGCAUCAUCAUUUGUUCUCACAUGAGUCUGCAAAACCACAAAACCACAUCAAUGACAAUCUAGAUAUAUUUCAUAUUUUCAUGGUAGCAUAAUGCCUCAGAUAGUACAGCAUGAUUUAUGAAACUUAAAGAGAAUCAAGUCCGUGAAAAGAGAAAAAAAGAAAAAGAAAAGACACAGACCAGUCUAGAUGCUUCUGAUAACUUUAUGUCAGGUGGGUCAAGGCAGCUUCAUUCCCACAGACACUUUGAUUGUUGAAUAUAGUUAGAAGUAAUGUUGGUUCUUACAUCCAUGAUUUGUUGGCGCUAUGCAUCAUUUCCUUCCAAAGAAGCCAACAAGACGAGUGAAGCUGCAACUAUUGAGGGCCAGUAACAUAACUGUCCAGGGUCUGAAAGCUGCAGCAUUGCCAAGUACUUGGCCCUCGUGUCUACCUCUUCAUCAGCUUGCAGGUAGAACCUAUUUAUUUUAUUUUUGAGUUAUAAAUUAGUAAUGUAAUUCGAGGAAAAAAAGAUGGCAAGAACCUCUCAACCAAGAAACAAUUGCCAUGCAUCAACCUAGGGUAUGUUAAACAAAUGAGAUUAUGAGCCUGAGUAUCAAGAUUAUGCCAUGUGUUGCAUGCAGCAGAAGCAGCAUGGUUUUUAUCUUUAGAUGAGAAACAAUUAGACAGAGAUUUACCAUAAGAGGUUAUAGCUGGUGGGCAGAAAGCACUGGGAGUUGAGAACCUCGAGCACAAGCAAUUGCCACCACUUCACAUCUGCUGUACAUUGCUUCCUACAUAGAAACUCUUUUCCCGCACACUGAAAUUGAGAUCAGAAAGGUUGUAUUAGAAGGCAACAAUGAUGAGUAAUGCUUUGCCAGUCUCAAUUUCAAUUGUUAUUGUAGUAGUAAUUAAACAAGUUGAGUCAAAGUUGUGACAUUGAGCUUUGACUCCAAGCUAGUUUUUCAUCUCAAUUCUUUUUCAGAUAAGUAGCUUACAGAAGGAAUGGAACUUCUUUAAUAACAAAAGAAAGACUAAAGGCACCAUAUCAUCUAGUUUAUAUGGAACGAGACAAGAUACAAGGUCUGAGAACAUAUGUACCUGUUGUAGGGCUGGUUUUCUUCUACCUGGUGGCCAACGUUAGACCAGCAAUUCCAACUUCUGCUCUUGAAAAAUCCUUUGCUUAAAAAUUGGUAAAGGAGGUUCACACUUAGAAACUUGGUCUCCUGUGGCCGUAGAUAUCUGUGGUUGUAACCCUCAGGCAAUUUAACAAACACAAUAUGAGCAACACAAGACAAUCAGCUAACCCACACUCCCACACACCCACUAUAAUCAUGAUGGUAUAUAUUAUAAUAUUUACUUCAACAAAUCACUCUCCUAUUACCCACAAAAGCAGAAAGCAAAAACAGCAUUACCUUCAAUUCACAGAGAUAUAAACUGAAUCUUGAAGUUGUGCAUCAGAUAGAGAUAUAAAAUGGAACACUUUGUUUUUUUUUUUUUUUUUUUUGUUUUCCCAACCAAAACACGAUUACUCUCUUGGUUGGACACAGUCAGGUGCCAUGUGAAUCUUAGGCAAUUUACAGCCAAAUCCUAGUUCCAACUAAUUAUUAUCAUAAAAAUCCAAUAAUCACAAAAUAAAUCAAAUAGAAGAUGGUAUACAAUCAACAGGAAAUUAUAAACUGUACUCGAAACACCACGUAGCAUUUAGUCCCUUCUAAUACUAUUGGUCUAAGCGUUUUUAUCUUAUUUCUGAUUGAUCUAUUUAUUUACCUCUCCUUUUUAUUUCACCCCAUGUUGGUCCCCACAGGAAAUUAAGUUAUAUAAUUAGCCAGGUACACCACAUAGCAGUGCCACGUGGUGUUCUGGGUACAAGGAAUAAUUACUUUACAUUGCAUGAAUUUAAGGCAAGAAAUGGAAGUAAAUAACACAAAUUUCACAAACAAAGAGUAUAUGCUUCAUUUCUUAAUUUUUUUUCAGGACUGAGUACAUAGAAAGUUAACAUAGAGUGACCAUUUUCAUAGAUCAAAAUUAGAGAACAGAAUCUAAACAUAAGACAAAACAUUCACGCAAUUUUGUCCUCAAGUUGUAAAAUGAGUCCUUAAAGUAUUAAUAUUAGUCGUCAAAGUUGUAAUAUAAGUCCUUAAAAUUGUAAAAAAAUUUAGUUACAACAUUAGUCAUCAUUUGUCCUUAAAGUGGUAAGAGUCUUCAAAGUUGUAAUAUAAGUCUUAAAAGUUGUAACAACUUUUUUUUAAUCACUUUGAGGACUCAAUUACCACUUUAAGGACACAUGAUAACUAAUGUUGUAACUAGAAAAUUUUACAACUUUAAGGACUCAUAUUAUGACUUCGAGGACUAAUAUUACAAGUUUGAGGACUUCAUUUACAAAGUUGAUGCAUUACAUGCAUUAACACACUUUAGAAUUUUCCUAUUUCUACAACACAUCUCAUAAAUACUGCACUUACAUAAGGCAAAACAAACAAAUAAUCAUAGGUAGUAUAAUCCCCUAGACCAGUAAAGUUGCUUUCUAGAGUUUUUGUUCAAUCGACCCGGUUAACGGGCCCAAAGAUAGCCUAAACCGACCCACACACUCCACAUCUCACAAAACCUAAAACCCCUGAUUUCUUCCUCAUUUCUCCAUCACCGCAUCACCUAUUCAUCUCACCUAAUUUCUAUUCUUCCGAUCAUGGAUGCCUCUUCCUCCUGCUCCUCCAAACCCACAGAUCACCUCACUAUUAAACUUAGUGAUCUAUCUUUGAACGAGAGAAACCCGUCUCCUCCUGCGGUUCCGCCGUUAAUAGCUGAAGUUCAGGCUUCUAUCGUCAAUGAGCAUGCUAGAGUUAUGCAUGCUCACAGCUUUGUUUUGAACCAGAAGGAGUUACUUUUUCCAUUGUUGAAGGGUGACUUUCUUUGGUUCUCUGUGGAGGAGAUUGCAUCUUUGAAGGAACAUAUGCACUCUAUGGAGGAGCAGCUCGUUGCUGUGAAGAAGGAGAUUACUGAGGUUGAGAAGAAGAUUACUGAUGUGGAGGUGGACGUGAUGUGGUCGGAGGAGUUAUGUUCGUGGAUUCUUGACUAUCAGUUGUUGAUUAUGGAGUCUCAGAGCUCCAUCUGGUGGAUCUGUACGUCAUUCAUGAUUUGGUAUUCAACAUUUAUGAACAAUGGCAGAACUAGAAUUUUGAAAUGGGGUGGGCUGAAUUUUUUUAUUAGAGUUAUCUAAUUUGUUUUUUUAAGUUAUACAUGUCAUAUCUUAGUUUAAAAACAUAUGAAACAAUCAAGUAGUAAACUGAUUAAACAUAAUUCAACAUAAUAUCAUUUGACAUAAUCAAAAAUUAAGAAAACAAACACUACUCUAGCUACUGAUUAAACAAAUCUUUAAUCUUCAAACCUUAAUUGGAAAAGAAAAAUACAUUCAGUCAACACUUCUUAAAAAAAAAAGACACAAUUGAAGAACUAUGAAAUCAAAUGGAUUAAUUCAUUGAGGAAUUAAGCAAUUGGGAACUAAAAUCAAAAAUAAAAAUAUAUAUGACCAAUCAUAUACACAAACAUCCAAAUACUAUCUUGUUUUAGGCAUAAUAAAAAAAUAGUUCAAAAUGAGUCCUUAAAGUAGUAAUAUUAGUCCUCAAAGUUGUAAUAUGAGUCCUUAAAAUUGUAAAAAAAAUUUAGUUACAACAUUACUACAUUAGUCAUCAUUUGUCCUUAAAGUGGUAAUUCAGUCAUCAAAGUUGUAAUAUAAGUUCUAAAAGUUGUAACAACUUUUUUUUGUUCACUUUGAGGACUCAAUUAUCACUUUAAGGACAUAUGAUAACUAUUGUUGUAAGUAGAAAAUUUUAUAACUUUAAAGACUCAUAUUAUAACUUCGAUGACAAAUAUUACUAGUUUAAUGACUCAAUUUACAAAAUUGAUGCAUCACAUCAUUCAUAUGCAUUAAUACUUUAUGGUAAUUCCUUUCCUUCAACGUUCCCAAACACAAGAAAUGAACAACUUUUAUUUCCUAAUGGUUACUUUCCGCAAACAAAACGAGGCCUAAGUGCAUGCUUAUUUGGGUGUAAAGAUUGCCACACGCAUACUUGGACGGCUACCAUGUCAUAUAUUUGAUCUUACGACUAGAGUAACUGAGUAAUUAUCUUAUAUUGAUUUGUGGCUUUAUAACCAUGAAUUUUGAUAAGCAAUUUGUCACAUCCCGACCCUUAAAUUUUUACCUUAUUUACUAGCUUGGUUAAAUUAAGAAUUUUACCGUCUCCGUCAUUGAGGUUAUAUGUUAAUUGGUCCCUAGAGGGGUUUGGGGGAUGGUUAUUUACGGAUAAUUAUUCGUAGGAGAAAAAUAUGACGACGGUAAAAAUGGUAAAUUUUAGCUAGUAAAAGGUAAUUUUUAUUAGGGUAUUAUUUUUCGAGGUGUUUUAUUUUGGAGUUGGUGUGGGUAUAUAGGUGUUGGACCGGUUUGGAGAGGCCCAAACCCAUCUCCCUCUCUUUCUCUUCUUUCUCUCUCCCUCCCGACUUCUCUCCCGAGCUCUCCCAACCCGGAGACUUUCCGGCCGCCGUCCGCCGCCGUCCGGCCACCCUUGGCGACGAGACCACCGCCGUUCUCUUCCUCUCCUUUCUAGCCUAGCCUGGGGAUCACGCAAGCGAACCGAAUCAAAGGGAUCGAAGCUGUUGAACACGACUGUGUUCGUCAGAUUCCGGCCAACUCAGGCGGCGACGACGGCAACGAACGGUAGGGUUCUUCUCCCCUGUUCUUCUCCUUUCUUUCUAUGCCUUUCACUCUUCAAAUCGAGUUCAAAUUCGGAAAACCCUUUGGUGUAUUAGGUUUUCGUCGAGGUUUUCCGGGGGGUUGUUCUUGGAGCUUCAACGGGACUACCGAGCUCCGGUGAGUCUAUGAAUGGUUGAGUGGAGCUCAGUCGCACCUUGGAGGGAUUUAAGAGCAGCAGCAGUGGUUUGAGAUUUGAGCAGAGACUUGAGUUCUCAAUCCGGGAUUUUGGUCGGACUUCAAACUUCGUCUUCAAAAGAAAAUCCGGCAAGGAGGAAGUUCUUGGGGCUCAAUGUUUGGCAGAUUGAAGGUGAGUGUUAAGCUGUGAAGUUGUGUUGUUGUUAUUGUUGUGUUUUGUUGUUGAGGUGUUGAUCCGGUUGUUUUGGUUGUUGUUGUCAAGAACUUGGUGCUUUGAAGAUUGCAGGGAGGUCAUGGCCAAUUUCCGGCAAGUGGCCGGAUUCUGGUAGAAUAUUCCGGUCAAUCGUCCGAAUCCGGUGAAAGGUUCUGGCGAGGCAGUGUUUCCAGUUGAGAGUUGUGAAGGUAGUAUUGAGUUGGAUAAUUGUUACUAAUGCCUUAAGAGGAAUUUUGAUGUUGGAGUUUAAAAUUUGUGGUCUUGAAGUCUAGGCAUAAUGUGAAGUGGGAUAGUAGGGAAAGUGUGAAGUCGUUGGUAUUUGCAGAUUGUUUAAAAGUAUUAAGUAGAGAAUGAGCUUGAGUCUAGUUUGAUUUUGAAAUGAGCUAAAUUAUACUAUGGGUGUCCAUAGUGAUUUUGCGUUUAAUUUAUUACUUGACGAAAUGGUGAAAUAGUUUGGUUGUCACGCUAUGGGCUUGGAAUUUCAAAGAGAACUUGUUUCCAAGUUGAGGUUACGGAACUUGAGCAAAAUGAGUUCUGGAUGUGUAAUUGGUUAAAAAUAAUAUUUAAAUCAAUUGGUCAAUCCUGGUCAACCUAGGGAAUUCUAAUCAAGCUAGGAAGAAGUCGAGUCAAUGAUUAUUUCGGAAUCCGGUUUGACCGAUUUACUUUGCUGUUUAUCAUCAGACGUGGGAUUGACUCGAGAUUGUGAGUAGUUGGAGGCAACGCUCGAGGAGUAUUCCGGGCAUUGGAAGGCUUAGGCCUAGUAUUGUGAGUGGACUUUUGUUUUAAAUAAUGUGCAUGCGAAAUAAUUUAUGUUGUUGGAGAAUAACCGAAAUUGAGAAUUUCGGUGAGUAUAUAUAUAUAUAUAUCCAUAUUUGGAUGAUUAUUAGAAUAAUAUGUAUAUGAUGAAAUGUUAGCUAGCUAUACGUGCUUUUCCACCAUACUGAGAUAAAAUUUCAUUAUGGUGAGACGUGAGCGUUAGACGCAAUCGUCGUAGCCCUAUAUAAAUAUAAUAAUUUAUAUAGGGGAUAUGCGCGUAUAUAUUUAUACAUCGUCUUUUCCACCAUAAUGAGGUAAAAUGUCAUUAUGGUGCGAAGUGAGCGUUAGACGCAAGCGUCGUAGUCUUGUGUGAAUUUUCUAUUUGUGUUUGUUGUUUCAAGAAAAUUCAUACAAGGGAUAUGAUGAGUGUAGUACAUACAUAUUUUAUUUUAGUCUGAGAGGCUUUUAUUUUUUUAUGAGGUGUUUGAGACUAGCGCGGCUAGUAACCUUUUGGAAAAUUUUUUUAAAAGCUUUUGAGCUGGUUGCAUGCCAUUAAUUGUUUUUCCACUGAAGUUAAAUCGGGAAAGCAUAAAGAAUAUUUUCAUUAAACUUAUUUUUGUCCACUCACUCUAACGUGUUUCAAAUGUUUUCCCCUGGGCCCUUCGUUUUAAAAUGCCUAGUUUACAGGAUUGCAUAGUUGAGUUCGGGCGUAUAUGGAGAUGAGGCAUAGUCAUCAUAUAGCUUCCGCUUGUUAAUUUAUUAUGUUUCCUUUUUUCAUAUUAGAGUUGCUCUGAACCUAUAAAUGGUUGGAUAUGGGAUUUGUGUAGAUAUUUAAAUAAUUUGGGAGAUGUUGUGUUGGGGAGCAUGAAGGCUCCAGGAGUAGAGGGUUCUAGAUGGAUUCUUUUGAAGUGUAUACAUGUAUUAUUAGGAAGGGUUGUCCGUUUUCAAGGGAGGUUAUGCCGAUUUUUUUGUAAACUUUCCUUAGAGGUGGUCCCCGUAGGAUUUACUUCGGGUUUCAGGGUGAAAUUCAGGGUGGGUCUUGACACAAUUAGUUAUGUUCUGUCUAUCAAGUUGUGAUUGAAGAUGUUGAGAAUCAAGUUUAGCAACUAGAACUGUUGAAUUGAAUUUUGAAGACAAAUCGAUGCAAUCCUUGUUCCCUUAAAUUUUCUGAGUUUCUUUCAAGUUUUUGCAAGAAGGAUUCAAGGAGGAUGAAGCAUCACAUUUUCGAAUUUUGGACAUGACACUAUUUGAGUUAAGAGUCUUUUCUCUCUUUUAUACUAUUAGAAAGGUCCCUACUUUUUCCUUAGGUUUUAGGAGUCUAAAGCUAUAGUGGUAAGCAUUUCAUUCUAUUUUUUGAUUUGUAUCAUUUAAUAUUUUUUUAUAUGCUUGUGCUAUAUGCAAAUGUUGACUAUAUGCUAAAUGAUUAAGCAUGAAACGAAGAUAGCAAAGAGAAUAAUAUAACUAUUGUAUCGUAUUUCAUGAUAUGAGCCUUAUUUGCAAGGAAUUACAAAGCACGUUUCAGGUAGUUGCGAGAAUGUUGUCUCAACUGAGGUAGUAAAGAAGCUUUAAUUAAAGCAAGUGAAGCAUCCAAAACCUUACAAGCUCUCAUGGUUCAAGAAGGGUAAUGAGGUAAUAGUUGAUACAGUGGCCUUAUAUCAUUUUCCAUUGGAAAAAAGUACUUGAAUGAGGUUUGGUGUGAUGUCGUUACAAUGGAUGCUUGUCAAGUUCUACUGGGAAGACCAUGGCAGUAUGAUAGAGGUGCUAUUCACGAUGGCAGAAAGAAUACCUAUACUUUUUGGAAGUAUAAGGUGAAGAUAGUAUUACCACCAAUGAAGGAUGAUGGGCUUCCAAAACAAAAGGCAGCACCAAAGAGAGACAAUUUCCUUUCAGUCACCAACUUCCUUCAAGAAGUUGAAGAAGCUGGAGUAUGCUUUGCUUUGAUUGCAAAGGAAGGCGGCCCUAUUUCAUCUAUUCUAGAAGAAGUAAUGCCUCUAAUCGAGGAAUUUGCAAAUGUAUUACCAGAAGAUCUUCCACCAGGGUUGCCGCCAUUGAGAGACAUUCAACAUCAAAUUGAUCUUAUACCCAGUGCUAGCCUUCCAAAUAAAGCAGAGUCCAAAAGAGCAUGAGGAGCUGCAAAGGCAAGUGACACAAUGAAGAAAGGCUUGAUUAGAGAAAGUUUAAGCCCUUGUGCAGUUCCAGCCUUGUUGACUCCCAAGAAGGAUGAAACGUGGAGGAUCUGCAUGGAUAGUAAGACAAUCAACCUGAUCAUUGUCCGGUAUCGGUACCCAAUUCCUUACCUUGAUGAUAUGCUAGAUCAUUUAGGAGGUUCUAAAGUAUUCUCCAAGAUAGAUUUGCGCAGUGCCUACCAUCAAAUCCAUAUCCGACCUUGAGAUGAGUGAAAAACAUCAUUAAAAACCCGUGAAAGGCUGUAUGAAUGGAUGGUGAUGUCGUUUGGCUUAUGCUAUGCGCCUAGCACAUUUAUGCGGGUAAUGAAUCAGAUUCUAAAGCCUUAUAUUGGAAGAUUUGUUGUGGUUUACUUUGAUGAUAUACUUGUCUAUAGCCCAUCUUGCAAUGCUCACAAACAACAUUUAAGGGAAGUUCUUGAAACACUUCGGAAGGAACAACUGUAUGAUAACCUAAAGAAGUGCAUGUUCAUGACUGAAGAAGUUACUUUUCUCGGUAAUGUGAUGUCUAGUGAAGGAAUUUCCAUGGAUCCAUCGAAGGUAAAAGCCAUACCUGACUGGCCUAUGCCUCAAAACAUACACGAAGUUAGAAGUUUCCAUGGCCUAGCUUCAUUUUAUAAGCGAUUCAUUCCGAAUUUUAGCAGCUUGGUUGCCCCAAUUACUGAUUGUUUAAAGACAAAUCAGAAAUGUUGUUAGACAUCGGCAACAACAUAAAAUUUUGAGCUUUUAAAGAAAAAUAUAUGUGAAGCACCAGUCCUUGCUCUACCAAAUUUCGAGAAGGUAUUCCAAGUGGAUUGUGAUGCUUCAAGAGUAGGAAUCAGAGCUGUGCUAAGCUAAGAAGGACCAAAUGCCUUCUUCAACGAGAAACUCAUUGGUGCAAAGCUUCGGUGGAGUACCUAUGACAUUGAACUCUAUGCAACAGUUAGAGCCAUAUGGCAUUGGAGUGAAUACUUGGCUCAUAGAGAGUUCAUUCUCUACUAUGAUCAUGUGGCUUUGAAAUUCAUUAAGGGGGAAUCAAAAUUGACAAGAAAGCACGCAAGCUGGGUGAGCUUCCUGGGACAGUUCAAUUACUCAAUAAAGCACAAGGCGGCAGUUCAAAAUAAGGUGGCUGAUGCACUGAGCCGAAAAGCUUCUCUUUUGUCUACUGUUUAUGUUGAGGUGAAGGGGUUUGAAGCACUCAAAGACCGGUACAAGGAAGAUCCUUAUUUGACACCAAUAUUAAAGUGCUCAUUUGUAACACCCUGACCCAGGUGUUAGAAAAAAAAUAAGCGAAUAAAAUAAAUAAGAAAAUCAUAAAUUCAAAAUGAGAUAGGAUUUGGAACUUAAAUUUUGUUUUUUUUUAUUUGCGGCUGCACCCAAAACUUGAUCGGGCUACCUACGUACCCUUUUUAAAGGGAUCAAGCCCCUCGUAGUUCAACUUUUAUACUAUUUCUCUAAGCAUCGGAAAAUCCGAAGCUUAACCAACAUAUCUCACAAAUUCGUCAAAUAGAAUUUCAAAGAAAAAUUGCAUAAUUACUAUGGACACCCAUAGUCAUACUUCAGGCAUUUAUAUUCCAAAGUUCUAUCAAGAGAUUAACAAAUCAAGAAUCCAAAAUCAUCACCACUGCCUGCGCAGAAGCACUCACAGCCAACAACUACACUGCUUAAACCCAAAUUUCCCAUGAUACAAUCUAAACUCGAAUUCAAUUAUACAAGGAGCUAAAGCUCCGCAAAUGAACUGAAUUUGAUACCUUAACACGAUUCAUCAAGUCAAUUAAAGUGUUCAUAAUAAGUAGGUUGUAAGAUAUGCCCCCACUUAAAACAGUAGUUUCGUAAUCUUCAUGAAAUCAAAACACAAGGUCCAAAUAAUGGAGUUUUCUCAAGUUGUGAUCAUGAUCUCACGGUAUUAACAUCCAAUCACAAACUAUAACAAUAGUUUAGUAUAAUUGUCAUUCAAAUUCUCACGUCCACACCAGCCUUUGAUGACCACAGAUUCACUUAUAACCAAUCUAGAUCAAACACGAGCAACCCAUAUUCAAAUACAUCUAGCUUCCGGGUAUAGUUUUCAAAUUUACCUUCGAUAUCAAGAAGAUUUAAGGCAGAAAUUUCAACCAUUGGUCUGCACCCAAAUUAACACAGUAGUGCCCAAAGUGUGAGUUAACUUACUUCACUUGAACCCGGGUUGCACUGUUCUUGGCUUGGAACUGGAAAACUUGCAAUUGAAAUUGUACUGGAACUCUGACUCGGCACCAAUUUCGAGUUAGUCCGAUCGAUGGCGGCAUUUCCGUCGAUGCCCAAAACCUCCCUUUGACAAGACAAGUAGAGGAGUUCGGAGUUCUCCCCCUUUCUCCUUCGCCCGAGAUCAGCGAGCAAAUUCAGAGAGAGAGAGAGUUCGGUGAGUUAUGUAGACUGAGGAGGCACGGUGGAGAAGGUCGAUGAAGACUCGUCCUUUUUCUCCACUUUUCUCGAUCCUUUGUUCCUCCUCCCCUUUCCCGAUUCUUCCUCUCUUGUUAUUUAUUUAUUUCCUAUCUUAUACAUAUGUGGCACACAUAUACAUAUCCACUUACUUUUAUAUUAUCAGUCAUCAAGUCGAUGACAUAUUUAAUGGUCGAAAUUUCUCUUUUAACACAUCGGAUUAUAAUUAUACAAUUUAUUUCACAAAUAACAUAUGCAGGGUAUUACAUCAUUGGCUAGUCAGCAAACCGGUUUUAACAUAUAUGAUGGAUAUCUUUUCAUGGGUGAUCAGUUAUGCAUCCCACAAGGCUCUUUGAGAGAAAAAAUUGUCAAGGAACUUCAUCAAGAAGGCCAUUUCGGUCGAGACAAGACAUUAUCUCUAAUCAGUUCAACUUACUGGUGGCCGAAGUUGAAGCGUGAUGUCACAAGGCAAGUGAAGCGUUGUCAUAUGUGUCAAAGAAGUAAAAAGGGUUUUGACAAAUGCUAGGUUAUACACUCCACUUCCUACUCCUAAAUCUGCAUGUACAGAUGUGAGCAUGGAUUUUUCCUUGGUCUUCCUAGAACUCAAAGAAGAGCAGACUCAAUCAUGGUGGUGGUGGACAGAUUCUCAAAGAUGGCUCAUUUUGUUCCUUGUCGAAAAAUCAUGGAUGCAACCAAUGUGGCUAAUCUGUUCUUUAAGGAGGUGGUUCGUUUGCAUGGUUUACCAAGCAGCAUCACUUCAGAUCAGGAUCCGAAGUUUAUCAGCCACUUUUGGAGGACCCUAUUGAUAGGAGCACAAAGUGUGACGUUCUUAAUAUGUUUAUACCCUUUAUUUACCCUUUGUUAACUCCUAUUUAGUUGUUUUAGCUUUAUAUUUGUGUUUAGUGUAGAAUAAUUGCUUAAUUUAGAAAUAUGUAGUUUUUAGUAUUAGAAUACAUAGUAUUUUCGGAUUUGAAUAAUUUGGUGUUGAAAUUGUGCUCAGUGUUGGAAACCCUUGUUUACUCAGGAUUCCUGUCUUGAUCAAGAUUCCAUCUUUCCUUGAAGCCUAGUCCAUGAAGGAGAGGUCCAAACCAAGUCCAAUAUGGAGAAGAAGAUCUAAAUUCGGCAGAAUUUCAAGAAUAUCCAAGCCCUUGAAAUCCGGAUUAAAUCGGGAGAAUUCCUGUACACGUCUGUCAACUUCAACGGACUCUCCAGGACAGCUCACAAUGAAUCAGAAAACGUGCCAGAUAUGGAUAGAAAGCUACGGGAGUCUAGUUUCCAAAUCAAUUGGAAUCACCUCAAUAUCUGUUUUCUAGAGGGAGUUAUGACGCAAUCAUCAGACGGAGGUCAUUCUGCCGAAAGGAGAAAAACUANNNNNNNNNNNNNNNNNNNNNNNNNNNNNNNNNNNNNNNNNNNNNNNNNNNNNNNNNNNNNNNNNNNNNNNNNNNNNNNNNNNNNNNNNNNNNNNNNNNNNNNNNNNNNNNNNNNNNNNNNNNNNNNNNNNNNNNNNNNNNNNNNNNNNNNNNNNNNNNNNNNNNNNNNNNNNNNNNNNNNNNNNNNNNNNNNNNNNNNNNNNNNNNNNNNNNNNNNNNNNNNNNNNNNNNNNNNNNNNNNNNNNNNNNNNNNNNNNNNNNNNNNNNNNNNNNNNNNNNNNNNNNNNNNNNNNNNNNNNNNNNNNNNNNNNNNNNNNNNNNNNNNNNNNNNNNNNNNNNNNNNNNNNNNNNNNNNNNNNNNNNNNNNNNNNNNNNNNNNNNNNNNNNNNNNNNNNNNNNNNNNNNNNNNNNNNNNNNNNNNNNNNNNNNNNNNNNNNNNNNNNNNNNNNNNNNNNNNNNNNNNNNNNNNNNNNNNNNNNNNNNNNNNNNNNNNNNNNNNNNNNNNNNNNNNNNNNNNNNNNNNNNNNNNNNNNNNNNNNNNNNNNNNNNNNNNNNNNNNNNNNNNNNNNNNNNNNNNNNNNNNNNNNNNNNNNNNNNNNNNNNNNNNNNNNNNNNNNNNNNNNNNNNNNNNNNNNNNNNNNNNNNNNNNNNNNNNNNNNNNNNNNNNNNNNNNNNNNNNNNNNNNNNNNNNNNNNNNNNNNNNNNNNNNNNNNNNNNNNNNNNNNNNNNNNNNACCCGUAGUCUAAUUCUAAGUUGGUCUAUGUCAUAGGAACCACGUAGGAACUUAUGUGCAUAUCAAAUUUAGGUUGUAUAUUUGCUCACGGUGUAGACUUAAAUGAGAUUAGAAAUCGUCUUCUUUAUUCUUGCAUGGUUGUUUGGUUGAGUUUGCAUGAAUGUUGGUUGAUCACAUGUAUAUAUGUAUAGAAGUAAUUUAGGAUUUAUUAUUAAUAUUGUUCCGAAAUCAUAAAACCUUUAAACCUAUAUGCUUAUUUCGAUACUUACAUUAGAUUAGAUGGAUCUACCCUGUAGUUGGAUCCCCGGUUUAGAACGAUCCCUGCUUGCUUUAUACUACGAUUGAUUUGUUGACAGGGUUAAUUGAUGCGUGUGCAAAUACGUCUUAUCACCUAUGAAGGAUCAUUGGAACUAAGUUGUGUUUCAGCAGUGCUUAGCAUCCACAAACUGAUGGUCAAACAUAAGUUAUCAAUCGAAGUUUGGGUAAUAUGCUUCGAUGUCUGGCUGGUGAUAAGCCUAAGGAAUGGGACUUGGUGUUACCCCACGUUGAGUUUGCCUUCAACAGAUCGAAAAAUCGAACCACAAAGUGCAGUCCUUUCCAAGUAGUGUAUGGGCAGAAUUCAAAUAAUGUUCUAUAUUUGACGCCUCUUCCAAACCCAAGCAAGGUGAGCAGGAAGGCAGAAGAAAUGGCUGAUUACAUCAAAUCCAUCCAUAAAGAAGUGAGGAAAAGGAUUGAAGAGACCAACCUAAAGUACAAGGUUGCAGCUGAUCAACACAGAAGAAGGGUUGUGUCUGAAGAAGGUGACGAGGUCUGGGCAGUUUUGACAAAGGACAGGUUUCCUACCGAAGCCUACAAUAAGCUUAAAGACCGUAAAGUUGGUCCAUGCAAAAUUCUCAAGAAGAUAAACGAUAAUCAACUAUAACUCCUGAGCCAUGUGAAGACUUCAGAUGUCUUCAAUGCCAAGCACCUCUGCCCGUACAAACUCAAGGACGAGUUUUCUGCAACCCGGGGAGAAUGAAGCAGUCAGUAAUUAGUUUGGAGAGACUUAAGGUUCCUCCUAGAACCUAGAGUCUUAUUAAAUGUUAUUGUCUUUAUCUUUUUAUCUGUCAUUAUUCUAGUGUUUCGUGCAGUCUUUAGCUAGAGGGUUCUAGAGCCUUAGUGCAUUUAUUGCAAGUAGUUGAGUUAGGGUUAUUUAAAGGGGUUGUAGCUUAUGUUUGUCUUCAAUUCUGAAAAUUCAAAAACAUUAGUUUAUCAAAAACCUAGUCUUUUCAACUCUAAGGGUUCAGUGUUCAACCCUUUUUACUAUCCCUAGUUACUUCCAGCUUCAGAUUCUACUAAGGGCCUGCAUCAGUCAGGGGUGUGUGGAUUGUAAUUUUGGGUGUAAAUUUCACUCUCAUCUAAUUGAUAUUUUAGCAAACUACAUAUUAGUUACUAACCAAAUUUCAGUUUACAAAUACAUCCAUUUACACAAUAUUUUACACAUUUAAAGACAAAAAUUAACAAAUCAGGACAAGUUGAUGUCCACAUGCCAUCUGUCACCAUGUAUUUCACCAGAAUACCCUUCAUUACAUAUUCUACUGCUACUAUCGUCGAGAAAUGUGCUACUGCCGAGUAGGAAUGUGCUACUGACGAGAAAAGUGCUAUUGCCGAUGCUAUUGCAAUUUUUUUUUCUGGAAAUUCUCCGGAACCAAAUAAAGUUGUUAUUGUCGAUUUAGAAGCUACUACUGUUGACUACAAAGCUAGCUGCAACUGUUAUUGUUUAAAUCAUUAUUGCAAUGUUGUUACUGUUAAAAUCUGUGUUUUGCUGCUACUAUUAAAAUCAUUACAGCAGUGAUGCUACUGCUACUAUUAAAAUCAUUGUUUUGCUGCUACUGUUAAAAUCAUUACAGCAGUGAUGCUACUGUUAAAAUCAUUACAGCAGUGAUGCUACUGUUAUUGUUCGUGUAUUGCAUCAUCAAGCAUUUUGAUUUUUGACACAGUAGCAUCAAACCACCUUCAUACACCAAUUCAAUCAAGCUUUUUUAUACUAAUUACAAGUAGCCUCAAACCUUUUCCUCGCAAACACUUCUAUACAUGUCCCCACCAACACAGUAGCAACAAGCCUUUGACACAAACAUCAAGCUGUUAGAUUUUGUAUUAACGGACAAAGAGAAAGAGAAAGAGGGAGAUAAAGGAGCGAGAGAGAUGGAGAGAGGUGUACCAAUUACAAGGACUCCACCAACGAGAUCUUUAAGCUGGCACGGUCGUCGAACUACCGUCAUCUUUUGUCGUCAAACUCCAAUGCCGGUACCGUGAUCUACAACAUCGCAGUCCACUCUUUUGAUAACUCCGAGCCCGAUCUCGACCUUCUUCCUCAUCGUCGAUGAGCAUGAUGGAACAACGAACCAUGACAGCCGCACUUGUACUACCAAAACUAUUCGAACAAGAUCCAAUCUACGUGGAGAGAGAGAGAGAGAGAGAGAGAGAGAGGUUUGACAGGAAAAAUAAUUAGGUCUCAGGCUUGUGUCUUAAUUUGUUAAAAAAAAUUGAAAUUGAGUUUUUUAUUUUUAAAUUUAAUCAUAUGUUACUAUGUAGUUUUCUAUUUAUAUUUUAAAUUUUAAUAUACAUAUCAUGCAACCGCCGGAUCUACUCGCAUACAAUACGGACAAAAGCCCGUACAAAGACCACAGACGGAAGCCGAACGUUUGUGUAAAUGAAAAGCCCGAACGUGUAAAUGAAAAGCCAAUACAUCUGAACCAUCAAUCAAACACUGUAUACGUGGACGGUCCAAAACCCAUAAAAACACAAACAAACGGUCCACCUCAAAUACACACCAGCAACCCUAAAAUCACCUCAUAUAUAAACCCCCUUCACACUCUCAGCUACAAAAACCCUAAUCCCAGCUGCCAAGCGCCGCAUAGCAACCGGAGCAUUUCACCCAUCUCGGCCGCGGCGGCAGCAGCAGCAGCAGCGGAGCAAUCAUGAAGGUUCGAAUCUCUCUCUUUGAAUCCGAAACCCUAACCCUAAUACGGUGCGUUUUACUGAUCGGAUUUUUGUGUGUUUUGUUGGGUUUCAGUUCAACAUCGCGAAUCCCACCACUGGGUGCCAGAAGAAGCUCGAGAUCGACGAUGACACCAAGCUGUAAGACCACUCUGACCUCUCCUUCUCAAUUUUGUGAUUUCCUGUGUGUUUUUUUUCUUUAAUUUAUGAAUAGAUUUUAGCAUUAUUAGGUUUUGUUUCGAUUAAUUUGUAUGGAGGUGAUUGAAAAGGCCUUUGCUUUGAAUAAUCUACAUGAUUUAAGUCUUAUUUGUUUCAGUAUUAUGAUUUAAUUCUUAUUUCAUUAUUACUCGUCUGGUUUGUAAUAGUGAGGAUAGAAAAGCCGCUACUUUUUUGGUGAUACUGUUAACCGAGAUAUUGAGGAGAGAAAUGUUGUGAAAAUUUUGAUAUAUUUGACCUUAAUUGUACGAGUGAGCUUGUUGACUCAGUAUCUGUUAUGCGAUCUGUGUCUGAUUAUAUAUGGUGCUGUUUUCUUGUGAUGUUGGUGGGAGCGAGGUUGUUUACUUGGAAAAGUUUUAUAGCAUCUCAUCUGUGGUAUUGACUGAUGACAUGAGUAAAUUUUGUGUACAUAGACGAUUUCAUAUCAAUUUUACGUAAUUUGCAAAUUGUUAGUGAUCUACGUUUAGAUUGUGUUUGGAACUGAUUGUCAAUUUGUUAGCUUAAUAUUUCUUUUGCUGAUCAUAGCUAAAAAACCAUUUUUUUACUUUGUUCUUCGCUGAUAUCAUGAGCACUAAUUAACCUGCAGGCGAGCAUUCUGGGACAAGAGGAUCAGUCAAGAAGUCAAUGGUGAUGCACUUGGCGAGGUGUGUAUUCUACAUUUCUUAUGGUUCUAUACUUUAGUCGUUUUAUAUCGACUCUUUUCUUUUCCUUUUAACUUUUAACAGGAGUUCAGGGGAUACGUCUUCAAAAUCAUGGGAGGCUGUGACAAGCAAGGCUUUCCUAUGAAGCAAGGAGUGUUGACUCCAGGGCGUGUUCGCCUUUUGCUUCACAGGGGUAUGUUGUAAUGUUAUUAGUUUCCAUGGGGGAGGGAGAGGCAGAGAUAAACAUGUCAUUUCAUUUGGUGAAACUGGAUCUUUAUUAUCAUAUGUUCUAGUUUUUAACAGUUUUUGAUUUUGUUAUUGUCUGUGAAAUUUUUUUUAGGAACCCCAUGCUUCCGAGGACAUGGAAGGAGGAAUGGUGAGCGAAGAAGGAAGUCCGUUCGUGGAUGCAUAGUUAGUCCAGACCUCUCAGUACUGAACUUGGUCAUAGUUAAGAAAGGUGACAAUGACCUUCCUGGACUGACUGAUAUUGAAAAGCCAAGAAUGAGAGGUCCAAAGAGGGCAUCCAAGAUCCGCAAGCUAUUUAACCUCACCAAGGAUGAUGAUGUGAGGAAGUACGUCAACACAUACCGCAGGAAAUUCACAUCCAAAACUGGUGGGUUUUUAUUUGUUAGCUCACUUGAUAUAUGUGAUUACUAGAGGCAAAAUUGAGAAGACAUUGAUCUUUAUUUGUUGGUUCAUAGGCACUAUUUAAUGUAAAUAUUCUGUUUGGCAGGCAAGAACUGCAGCAAAGCUCCAAAAAUUCAGAGGCUGGUUACUCCUUUGACUUUACAGAGGAAGCGAGCAAGGAUUGCAGAGAAGAAGAAGAGAGUUGUGAAGGCCAAGUCAGAGGCUGCAGAGUAUCAGAAGCUACUGGCUUCCAGGUUGAAGGAGCAGCGUGAGCGCCGCAGUGAGAGCUUAGCCAAGAAGAGAUCAAGACUCUCAUCUGCCACCAAGCCAUCUGCUGCUUAGUUGUCUGGUGGGAAAAUGUUGAUGUCUUGGCUCUGAACAACAUCAUAGUUAGGAUGAGGUAUUUCUGAUUGUUUAUUUAAAGCUUUCAGAGUUUAUUUUGGGAAUGCCGAACAUGUUCCAGGCCGACAUUUCAGAUUUUGUUUGUGUUUAAUGAGUUUCGUGGAUCUGGAUCAGAUAUAAAUGUUUGAAUUAGUAUGUGUUGUUGCGAUGUGUUGAGCUUCACAGAAAGCUUCACCUUGGCUUAACAACUGAAUCAACAACUUUUUGGUAUUGCUGAUUUUGAGAUUUUGGAUCAAGCACUAAACGGAACCAAAGGACUUGUUAGUUCAAUGCAGAAAUCAGUCGGAUUAUUAUUAUAUCACACAUUUCUAUUUGGAUUUUUAGAUGUAGCUGACUUUUUUUUUCUCGCCUUUUAUGGGUUCUUAUUUGGGUUAAGUUCAAAGUUCAAACCAUCUUCUUUUGUGAUCUGAUCCCUCGUCAGACUCCAAACAAAGCACAUUUGGCUCGUCUAUAUUUUAGCUUUGCAAUUUUGAUUCAAUCAUUUCAACCAUCCUCGCUCAUCUUGAGUCUCUUGUUUAACAUUCAUGGGUCACCUAGGCAUGGAUUUGUCAUGUAUACAUGGAGAUUGCCCGACAACCAUGCUUCUGAACUUGCCGGAUUGUUCAUGUAAGCAAAGGAAAUAAAGAAAGAUACUCUUCUAAACGCAAAAACGUAAUGAAACGCUUUGAUUUCAAAAGCGAUUAUUUAUAAUCCAGUUCUGAAUUGUUAAUUUUGAAUCUUACAAGCAUCCCAACUUGUUCAUUAGGGCAUUUGUCCUUUUAAUUAUUUUUUGGAUUGACCACCCUGCAAUUUUUCCUUAUCUCCCCAGGUUGCUGGACCUGCAAGUCACCCAUCUUUAGCAUCCCCUCAACAAAAGCCUUGAAAAAUCCUUCUUGAUCAAUGCUGAACUGAUUAACAAAUUCCCUUGUCCGCGGAAAUGUGAAAAGAGUUUGAUCCGAAUUCAGAAACCCUCUCCCGGAAACCAAGUCCUUGAAGUACUGAUUAUCAAAUAGCACUGAUGUUGCAUCAAGGUCUCCGGUCACGUUUUGGUCCACAUUCAAAGGACAGAGCUUGUCUAGCUUUUCUCUAAACUUGGGUUCAAUGGCAGGGUCCGGCUUGCCAGUGCCAGAUUGGUUAUACAGCUGAAACAUGAUCGAAAAGCACCGAGCUUUGCCAAUGGAAUGUGAUCCAGAGAGCGCAACCAUGUCUUUUGCAGAAAGAUUGAAUUUGCUGAAUAGAUCAAUGAGAAAGGUGGCAUUGGAUCUUGGACUUGGCAUUACAUUGUCUGAAGCUUCUUGGCUUGCUGUUAAGCUAUCCAAUCUUCCCAACUUCACUUCCCAACCUGGUCCUCCAGUCUGAGUUACAAAACAUUAUGUGAUAUAAGCAAACCACAUCCAGAACUUGCUAGAUCAAAAUCUAUCUCUGUCUUCAACCAAAAAAAAAAAAAAUUCUAUCUCUGUCUAAUAUAUGCGAUGAAAAAUCUAAAAUGCACAUAAGCUUAGCACACAAGUUCUUAUUAGUUAUAACUUAUAUGUACUACUUUGAUGUUAGUGUAAUACCAGGGCAACAGCAUCUCUAGAAGCCAUGAUAAUGAUAUCAGCGCAUGAAACAACUCCAGGACAUGCCUUCUCCAAAGCUUCCUUGGCUUCAUCAACAACUUCAUAAGAUCUCAAUGAAUUUAUAUUUGCAAGGGCGAGUUUUUCUCCGAGCAUAGUUGGUGUGUCAUCAAGUAACAGUGAAGCAUCACAACCCUACAGGGAUACGAAAAUAAUACAGUAAUGUUCAGUGUAUGAUAGUAACAAUUGACGAAAUAUAAUACUCCUAUUCCUAACAAAGCAAGAAUUCGACUUUGCAUAUAGGGAAAGAAAUCAAUAUAUUUUUCCUUACAUAUGUAGUUGCUUACAUUAACAAAGCAAUCAUGAAACUGGAGUCGCAUGACUGAGGCAAGGCUCCGGGGUUCUCUUAUCAAAGCCUUCUUCAUGACAUCUCGGACGAUGGAUUCGGCUUUUGGGCACACUCCCGAGUAAUAACCGGUCCGGAGGUCUGCGGUGGCACCGGUUGUCAUGUGUAGGAGGAAGAUUAUCAAGAGAGGAGACAUUGGAUUUGGAGAGACUAGUCACUUAAGUCUUAAGCGCUGGUUAAUUUGGAGUUGGUUUGCAGCUUUUUAAACUUGUGGAUUGCUCAUGCCAUUGUACAGAGAGAAAGUAUCUGUAAGACAUAUGGUCAAAUUCAGAUUGUGGAGUUACGUUUUGUAUAGAUAGUAUUUGAUUAGAGUUAAUGGAGUAUAUAUGACUUUGAAUGUCAUCUUUGACUUGUUUUAUUUUAGUGGAUGCAUUUUUCAUUCUCCAUUGCUUGUUGAAAGAGACGUUACAAAUCUCUAUCAUAUACUAGAAGUAGCUCCUUAUGUGGUAUACACUUCAGGCUCGUUUGUUCAUGGAAAGUAAGAACACAUUACACAUUUGAGUAGGCUGAGCCAAAGAGUCGACCAUUUUAAAAAAAUCAUCAACCUAAGGUCAUUCUCUUGAGAUGGUUUGAGGAGAGUCAUGUGAUAGUAGUCUCUGAUGCUUAUUAUAAUAUGAGGUUCAAGCUACGUUUUAGUCUUAUAUUAUGUAAUGUCAUUAAUUAAGGCUUGAGAAAUAACCGCAUCACCCAAAUUAAAAAAAAAAAAAAAAAUUACAUCAAUCUCUUUAACUAAACUAUGUUAAAGCAUAAGUAGCCAAAUUUAACAUCGACAACCAUAGUAACUUGCCUCCACCCUAUCAUCACCGGAGGAAAAUAAACCAUCGUAGCUGCCUGGUAGAAGAGAAAGUAAAAGGUGAAACAAUCUGAAUUUGGGAAGAAACUCAUGUCUAGUCUUUUUCUUACAAGAAAAAAUGUUCAAUGGUAGAAAAUAUAUGGAUGAUACCGAUCGAAGCUAGCAAGUUCCUAAGUACAAUUUAUUGUCAGCAAAUGUGAUGGUCCAUUUCGAAUCCUUAUAUUGCAAGUGUCCUAGUUGCAGGACCAGAACACCAGAUAAACAAAGGCCCCUCCAUUCACAUUCACGAGCCAAGGCUGAGAUGAUAGUCCCUCCAUUAUAUGCAAGAGACAACUUUCACAAGUCACCAGUUUGCAGGAAACCUUGUUUUUAGAUGGAAGCUUUUUUAAUGAGGACCUUUAAGUUGAGGACUUGUUGAGGACUUUUCGGCUUAUCCCACUUUUCGAUCUUAUAUCCACAUCUUGACCGUUCAGUUUAUAGGUAUUUAUGGGUAGAUCAUUUCUGUAAAUUUUCAGCCAUAUUAAAAAUCGUUAAAACAUUCAUAAGUGUGAUUUAUCAAUUAUGAACUUGAACGGUUCAUGUUUGACAGAUUUGGUUCGUCCAUUAAUUUGAUCUAGUUUGUUACCUUAACGAUCACCGAUUUGGCUGAAAAUUUGUAGGGUUGAUCUACACAUAUAGACCUAAAAACUGAACAGAUGAGAUGACAAAAUGUGAUUGAAAAAUAUGUUUUUUAAACCAUAAACCGAAAAGUCCUCAAUUUAAGGAUCUUUAUUAGAAGGGCUUCCGUCUUUAGAUAUAGAUAGAUGGGUACAGUCGAAGCAAUUUCCCAACAUACAAACCACAUUUUCUUUCACUUGAUGGUGUGACACAUAAUAAAAUAUUUUCCGGCAUAGAAUCGUAAGGAGCUCAAUGAGGGCCUAAGUUAAGGAAUAAGGACUAGUUUAGGUUUUUUAGUUAAUGGGUUAAGAGACAUACUUUUUAAUUAUAUUUUUACAUAUUAACCGUUCAGUUUAUAGGUCUACUAGCUUUUUACCUUAUUCUCUCCUGUUAUAAAACUCGCUACCCAUUUUUCUCUCUCUAAUUAUCUCUUUAUUUUAUUUAUUUAUUUUGUUAUUUACUAUAGUAACCCUUGUUUUUAAUAGUCUGAAUCAACUUGAUAGGGGCAAUCAUUAAGGUAUCAAACUAGAUCAAAUCAAUUAACUAACCAAAUUUGUCAAACAUGAACCGUUCAAGUUUAUAAUUUGUAAAUCACACUUACGAAUGUCUUAAUGAUUUUUCAUUUCGGCUGAAAAUUUGCAGACAUGAUCUACUUAUAUAUACCUAUAAAUUGAACGGUUGAGAUAUGAAUACGCAAUCGAGAAACGGGUGAAACAAAGAAGUCUUCAACUAGUAUUCAACUUAAAGGUCCUCAUAUUUAUUUAUUUUUGAUUGAAACUUAAAAGUCCUCAUUAAAAGGGCUCCAUAGAAUCUUAAUUUGAUUUAUUGAAACCCUUUACUUAUUCUGUAUUUUCAAAAAUAAUCAAAUCGACUAAUUAUCUUCGUGCUAAUUCUAGAGUCUAAGUGAAACUUGAGAUAGUGAAUAACGAAAUUUAGUGGAAAAAUGGCUGUCAUUCCUCAACUGAAAAAUGUUGUUAUUCUAGAUCUUUAAUCUUUGAAAUUGGUCGACUAGUACAUUUGAAAAUGAUGUGCGCACUCACUUAAUUACCAGACACAAAAUUUUGUGCCAUUUGAGUGAUUUGACUUGUCCAAUCUAGAACAGUAAAGAAGCUUUUCAGAUGAGGAAGGUUGGGAUUUCUGCAUAUCUCACUUCAAAUAAUUUUGGUUUACUUUCUCUUGUAGUGCACAUUAGUCUAUUUAGAAGAAUAGGGUGCUUCUCAUCUCCAGCGGCCUUUAAGCCGAAAGUGUUCGAUUACAAAUCCUAAAGUAUAUGCUUAGUUGCUUACUAAUAAAAUUUUCCUACUUCCGUUAUCUGUUAUUAUCUUUACCAUGUAUGGAUAUGUAUAGACUCAAACGCAUAAUGUCUCACAUUAGCUUUCUUUGUUCUUCUCUUUCGCCUUAUGAGCAUUUUACUUGUGAACAAAUAUUGCUAGCAAAUUAUCGAUUCAAGAGGUACUGAAACGAUCAAGUUUCGAGCAUGUAGUUUUGAAUCUUUAUCUGCCCGAACCUAAAAACUAACAGUUCAUUAGGUCUUGUUACAGAAAUCUAACUGAAUCCAGACUUCUGUUUACUACUUUAGUUUUAAAAAAGAGUUCUGUUUACUAUCAAGUAUCAACAUCACUCUACUUUCUCUUUCCAUAUAAAAACCUUCCACAAUUUGAUUACAUAUCAGACUUAUUAAUGCUAUUGAAGAUGACAUAAUAUCGUAGUCUGAUCCCUUCAAGACUCCCAGAAUGUUUCGACAGCGCGACGAUUAGCCACCCUGCAAUUUUUCCUUAUCUCCCCAGGUUGCUCAAUCUGCAAGUCACCCAUCUUUAUCAUCCCCUCAACAAAAGCCUUGAAAAAUUCUUCUUGAUCAAUGCUGAACUGCUUCACAAAUCCUCUUGUCUCCGGAAAUGUGAAAAGUGUUUGAUCCGAAUUAAGAAACCCUCUCCCGGAAGCCAAGUCCUUGAAGUACUGAUUAUCAAAUAUUAUAGGAGUAGCAUCAAGGUCUCCAGUCACGUUUUGGUCCACAUUCAAAGGGCAUAGUUUGUUUAGCUUUUUUCUAUACAUUGGUUCAAAAGCAGGGUCCGGCCUGCCUGUGCCGGAUUGGUUGUACAGCCGAAACAUGAUGGAGAAGCACCGCCCUUGGCCGAUGGAGUGUGACCCUGAAAGCGCAACCAGGUCUUUGACAGAAAGAUUGAAUUUGGCAAAGAGAUCAAUGAGGAAGGUUGCAUUGGCUCUUGGACUAGGCAUAACGUUGUCUGAGGCUUCUUGGCUUGCUGUUAAGCUGUCCAAUCUUCCUAGCUUUACUUGCCAAUCUGGUCCUCCAGUCUAUCACAAGGACAAACCACAACGACAAAAGAACUCUCUUAAUUCACAUAAAUAGUAUCAUUUCCUCAAAAAAGGAAAAAAAAAUUAAUAGCAAGGUACUGCAAAUCAAGAUUGCAGAUACAGCAGUAAAAAGAUAAACACCUUUUGGGUUCAGGAGUUCAUAAAUCAUAACUCUUUAGCAUCAAUUGACAGGACAAAAGAAGAAAGAAAACAUCUUUUGCCAGCUUUACUCAUUUCAUCCUUUAAUUACAGAAAGAAUACCUCACUGCAAAUCCCACUUUGAUAUGGGGUAGACUUCCAAACAUGGUCUUGUAACAAAUUAAGUUAAUUAACAAAACUAGAUUUUACCUUUUCGGUUUGGUAAUGAUAAAAAUAGAUAAGAGGGAGAUAGAGAGAGAUGCAUACCAGAGCAACAGCAUCUCUAGAAGCCAUGAUGAUGAUGUCAGCACAAGAAACAACACCAGGACAGACCUUCUCCAAGGCUUCCUUGACUUCAUCAACAACCUCAUAAGAUCUCAGUGAGUUUAUGUUUGAAAGAGAAAGCUUUUCCCCAAGCAUGGUUGGUGUGUCAUCAAGUAACAUAGAAGCAUCACACCCCUACAACACACAACUUAAAACCAUCAACACAAAAAGGCCUAUAACCAAAUUAAAGCCUUUUGCUUUGUCAUACUCACAUUAACAAAGCAAUCAUGGAACUGAAAGCGCAUGACAGACGCAAGGCUCCGGGGCUCUCUAGCAAAGGCCUUCUUCAUGACAUCCCUGACUAUGGUUUCGGCUUCCGGGCACAUCCCGGAGUAAUAACCGGGACGGAGCUGCACGGCGGCCGCCCCGGUUAUUAUGCGGAGGAGGAGGAGGAGAGGAAGGAAGAAAGGAGACAUUGUAUGUUUCAGUUUGUGGAGUGGUCCAAUCUAAUUAUGUGCAUGUAUAUAUAGGUGAAAAGGUGAAGAGGGUGUUACCCUUUUACUGUUUGGGAUUGGUGGGGUGCUAAAAGGAUGGUUCAUAAUGAGGGGUUUGAGAAAAAAGAGAGAGAAGGCUUGGAAUUUCGUUGGUGUCUGUGAGUGUGUGUCAAAAGAUGAGAGGGUUUGUUGUGAUAACAGGAAGCAGGGGAAGGCAAUUGGGUAAGAGAGAGCCGACUGGAAGAGAGGACUGGGAGUGGGGACUGGUGACUGCGUCAACAAUUGCGACACCCACGAUGAUGCUCUGACCGGGAGACUGUGUAAGUUUCUAGUUUUGCUGAUGCCAUUUUGUAGUUUUGAGGUUUUGUCUGAGUCUGGGAGAUCUAUUUUUGGGUAUGGGGUAAUAAAUGGGGUGCAGCUUUGGGAAAUCCAGCUGUGUAGCACUGCAUUACUUCAGUAGUCAGGCGUUUCAAUGGUUAAUUGUAGUGGAUCUCCAAUUGAGGGAAAGAGAUUUUGAUUUGUUUUUGACUUCAAAUCUAGCGUGAAAAGGAAAGAGUUUUUUUUUUUUACCACAAGAUAUUAGAAAAAAAAAAGGAUGUUGUUAUUCUUUAUGACUAAACCGGAACGUAUUUGAGUAAUCUACAAGAACGUAUUUAAGUAAUCUACAAGACGUACAACUUAGCUUACAAUAUAAGGGGUGGUGGUGCGACGUCGAUUCGCAAAGAAGAGCAUCUUAAAGUACGUGGCAAAGGAUCAAGUGCUUUGGUUUUUUUUUCUCGUAAUCAACCACAGGUUGGUUGUAGAGCCGUGUGACGUAUGACAUCCGACAUGAUUUCGAAAGACUUUUAGUGUGCGUUGGUGAGUUAAAGCCCAUAAUAACAAUUCAAAUACUUCACUUUUGUUUUCUGACAACAAAAAUAAUUCUGUAACGGUCAAAUUAUUACAAAUAUUUAGUUAUAUAUAUGACUUUCUAUCACGCCGCGCACGCGCAUAUGUACACACUACGCACACUCAGUGAUGUGUUGCGUUUCUAGCUACAAUAAUUUUGAAAUUCUAGAACUAUUUUGACUAGUAAUGUUGUAUUAAUGUAAUUAUGUCUCCAUUUCUGUUUGCUUGUUUUAAAUUUAUAGACUUUCAUUAAUAAUACCAUGCAUAGUUAUGUCUCCUACUUUAACAAGUACACUAAACACUUAGCUGAGUUAGCUUUAUAUAUAUCAUAUCAACAACCAAGAAACAUAAUGACUAGUCUUGUCAUGAGUCGAACUUAGAGUCUCCUUCACUUAUAUAGUAGAUUGUGUUACUAGACCAAAUGAUACUAAACCAAACAACGCUGAUUCUAAACGCAGUCUAACAAAAUUUUCUCAUAUCUUCGUGUGAGAACACUACUUCUCACUCGAAGACUAAAAUAUUGAAUGUUAUUUGGGGCUAAGACUUUUGCUUGGACUUUAGUAAGUGUAAGGUUGAAAAUUAGUUCUCGAAUUGCUCAUUAGAGCACAUGGAAUGCUGCUAGAUUUGACCUAAUGUGAUCUUCUUCUUAUGAUGAGUUGUUCCUCUUCUGGUUCAAGGAGGAUCAUGAUAAAUAUGUUGCAAAGAAUUGCAUUACUAUUUGCUGGAAGAUUACGGAGACUAGAAAUAUAAACAACCUCACUUUCAGAAACAAACCUCCCUAUCAUGUGAGUGUUGUUCAUGAUGCGGAAAACUCUGGUGAGGCAUAUCGAAAGCGCAAUCCUAAGGCAUGUGCGGUAGAGAAUAUCAACUCUAGAAGAAGUCAAUUUCAUCCUUAAGUCAUUCGAUUGCAUCCUCUCCAAGAAAGCUUCAUUAAACUUAUUUUUGAUAGGUCGGUCCUUAGCAGUAGUUUGGCGCUAUUGGGUUUGUCAUUAGAAAUCACAAUGGAGAGCAUAUUUUUGCUGGUUCUAGAGAGGUUGCUUCAGCUUCAUUUCAUGUGGCCGAGUGUAAUGUUGUUAGUGACACUAUAUCAUACAGAUAUAAGCUGCUAAAUAACUGCAAGAAAACCCAAAUUUAAGGGGAUUCAAAGCUUGCAAUUGAUGUUCUCAAUUAGAGAUCCUCCCCCCUCUCCUUGGAGACUCAGAACCAUUCAAAGACAUCUUCUAUUAGGUGACUCAAUUCGAAGAAAACAGCUUCCAUUACAUAUUCACUGUGUAGCCAACUUUGUUGCUGAUUCGAUCACUAGUCUGCCUCACUGAUCUGCAAAUCCUACUACAUGGUAUCAUGGUGUAGGAAGUUGCCACUCUCACCGAUUAAUGCUGAUAGUUCUGAUAACUUAAAUGUAGGCUGCAGUAGGGGCUUUUAAGAUAUGAAAAAGAAAUUUUUUUUGUAAUGGGCCGAGUGAAAAUGUAAGAUGAAACCGAUGUAGAGAGAGCAGCCCAAACCUAAACCUCCCGGGGCGCACAACAAUCCUUCAGUCCCUCCAAAACCCCAGCAGCACAUCGAACCGCAGCAAAAACCAACUGCUGCUUUCUUUUCUGGGUUCACUUCCAGCACCCAACCAUGGGCAGAGGCAGAGGAGGCUCACGCACCCAGAGACGCCACUUCCGCCAGAACAGAGAGAACGUCUGGAAGCGCACCAAGCCCGAUCCUUCCUCUGAAAACCCAACUGAAAACAAUGGGGGCGACCCUUCUUGGCAGCCCUUUGCUACCCAGAGCCUUGCAUUCGAGGAGUACUACAAGGUAAAGUUCAUAGAGUAAUUUUUAUGGUUUUGGAGUAAUAAAGCUUGAAUCUUUGUGGGUUUUGAGUAAUAAAGAUUGUUCCUUCAUGUUUUUGUUUAUAGGAGCAAGGGAUUGUUGCCCCAGAAGAGUGGGAUUUGUUCAUGGAAUUUCUCCGAAAGCCGCUGCCGGCUGCUUUUAGGAUCAAUUCAAGGUAGUAUAUGAAGAAAUAUGAACUCUAAGGAGGUCGCUAUUCAUUUGCAGUAGUGUUUAUGUGCAGGCAUUGACUGAAAUGUGUGUUGUUUUCUGUUUGAUUUUGCAGUAGCCAGUUUUGUUCGGAUAUUCGGACCCAGUUGGAGAGUGAUUUUAUGAUAUCUCUUCAAUCUGAGGUAGGUUGGUUUGUAACUUUAGUGCAGUGCAUAAUGUGUUGUUAGUGCAGGGCAUGUUUCAGGUUUUGCUUAUUUUUUAUUAUUUAAACUAUGCUGUUCAGGUGAGUGAAGGGGGUGAACCGCAGCCUAUUAGGCCGUUAGCUUGGUACCCUGAGAAUCUUGCUUGGCAUUCAAAUUUUUCUCGCAUGCAGCUGAGGAAAAAUCAAACUCUCGAGAGGUACAUGAUGUAAACUGUGGGGAUAUUGGGUAGAGUAAGCAGUGAGUAGUUGCCUAGAACCAAUGCAAUUUUGGUAGCUCGUAAUUUCAAGCAUAUAUAUGACUGUCCAUGGCUCUUUUGUUCCCCUAGGAGUUCAUAUAGAGUAAUAUGUAUCUACCCAAAUAAUUUUGGUUGUUUGGAAGUGGAUCCUCCUUGAAUUGUUAGUGUUACAUAUAUUUUGACCAAGUUGCCAUUAUGCUAGCAAGUUGGUCAUUCAUUUUGAGUUGUGCUUUUUCUAUAAUAUAUUUUGUUUUAAUUUUCCUAGUUCUGAUGGAAUGAUUUUCUCAGGUUUCAUGAGUUUUUAAAGCUUGAAAAUGAGAUUGGAAACAUCACAAGACAGGAGGCUGUCAGCAUGGUGAGCUGUUCUUAUUUACGGUAGUUCUUUUGUUGUUUAAAUACUGUUAAUCUGUUAUAAAUUUUGUUUUUGACGUUUUGGGGUUUCAGUAGAAAUUCACUUUAUAUUAAUCCUUGUGUCAUUCUUUUUCUUUUGAUGAUACAGGUGCCUCCUCUAUUCCUUGAUGUACGUCCAGAACAUUUUAUACUUGAUAGUAAGCCACUUAUUUGUAUUUAAUACUCUCUCUCCCUCUCCCUCUCCCUCUCUCUCCCAAUUGUUCAAAUCUUAAAACCUUAUUUGACCAAAUGUUAGGAUUUGGACUUUUUAGCAAUAAAAGAAAAUGUAAAAUGGUUGUUUUCAUAAUGAAGAAGUAGUUGGAUGAGAGAGGAAUAGUAUCUUGUAAAUUUUCUUUCUGCAGAAUUCUGUACUUGGUUUUUGUUCUUUACUUCUGUGAAGAAGCCUAACUUUAUCUCAUAUGUUUCUAAUAUAAAGAAGUGGUCGAAUUAUUAUUUUUGGAACAACACUCAACUUUUUCUGACUAUCUGCUGCACUUUUCCCAGUGUGUGCUGCCCCAGGUUCAAAAACAUUCCAAUUGCUCGAGAUAAUACACAGAUCAACAAAACCAGGACUCCUACCUGAUGGACUGGUAUGCAUCCCUUUAAUUCCUGUUUAUGUUCUUUCAGAUCCUAUUAAUCUGUUUUGUCUUCUCUUUGGAUAAGUGUAGUGGAGUCCCUUUCUAUGCCCUAUUUAAUUCUCCUAGUUAGUAUGAAUCCUUGUUAUUCUACUGCAGUAUUAAAAUGAUUCCUUGUUUUUUCCUUCUUCCCAUUGAUUAAGGUUGUAGCGAAUGAUCUUGACGUCCAAAGGUGCAAUCUACUCAUCCAUCAAACAAAAAGAAUGUGCACAGCUAACUUGAUAGUCACAAAUCAUGAAGCUCAGCACUUCCCUGGCUGCCGUUCCAACAAAAAAAGCUCUAGUGCUCCCGAAAUAGGAAUUGAAUUGGAGCCACCCAUCAGUCAACUUCUCUUUGAUCGUGUUUUAUGUGAUGUCCCUUGUAGUGGCGAUGGUACACUCCGCAAGGCUCCUGAUAUCUGGAGGAAAUGGUAGAACCUUUAUUCUCAAUCCCAAUUUCUUUUUGCAGGUUGAUGAGAUUUGUUUUGCUUAUGUACAGGCAUUCAGGUCAUGGCAACGGGUUGCAUGCUCUACAAGUUCAGAUAGCUAUGCGAGGUAUCUCUGAUGAUAAACUUCUGCCCAGAAUUUCUAUAUAAUUGUGUGUUGAUCUACUUCUGUGUUUAAUUCUCAUGUAUUGAAUUCAUACUCUUUCCACUCGUUUAGAGAGUAUGAGUAAUCACGUAUGAGUGCAAGUCCAUUAUACGCCCAAUGUGUUCUGAGUAAUUGUUUGGGGAUCACCACAUAUAUGAAUUCUCUUCCUUAGGACAAUAUGACUAAAGAUAGUGGAUGCUUAUGUGGUUUGUGCCUUUCUGAUAGUUCUAUUAUUAAUGACACAGGAUGUAUGAAGCAAUUGUGUAGCAUAUAAUUUUUUACCGUGAUGCAGUGCAUUUAGUUGGGGAACUAGGGAAGGUUAUUAUCUCUGAGGCUGCACUAUGUGCAUGUUAAUUUUUUACUAGGAUAUUGUAUUUUCACUGCUCUUCUGUUGUUUAUUUAGAACAUUACUUUAGGGUCUCAUUUAGUUUGUGGAAAGGAAAGUAAUUCCUUUGUUGUUCCCAUGAACUUUCCAUUCCAAUGUUUGGUAACAUAAGGAAGGUAUCCAGAAAGUUGUUAAAAUUUUUACUAUCAAUGCAAUAAAAUAAGGGGUGCUUCUAAAUGUACCCAGUAAACUUCUAAAUAGACCCGGCAAAUAAAUAAUUCCACAUUUACCCUUGAUUUUAAUAUUAUACAAACCCAGCAAAACUAUCUAGCUAUUAACACCAUCGUUGGGGAAGAACAUGAACCAUUGCCAUCCUCCCCUAUAAAACAUGCAAAAUAAAUCGAAGUAGUGCUCGAUCGGUCUGUCGGUCUGUUGGUGUUGCGAUGGCUGUUCAUCUGUGUCGGAGUAGCUGUGUCUCCUCACUCAUCCCACAUCAUGGUUGAUUGGGGCUGGUGUUUCAAUGGGUCUGAGUGAAUUGAAAUGAAGAGAUAAAUAUGAUAAAUUCAUAUGAUAAUCUACACACAGUCUUAGGUGCAGAUCGAGGUGGUCCUCUGUGUUUUAGUGUGUCUAUUGUGAACAAGAUGGGAUUGGCAUGGACUAGUUUUAUUUCUCCUUAAUCUCAAUUUCAAUUGUAUGAUGAAGAUGACGUUGAGGUUUCAUACAUGAGAGUUCAAUUACAUGAGGUUAUUCAAUUUUCAAUUAUAAGAGUUCAAUUAUAUGGUUUCACAUAUGAAGUCGUAAUCCCAUCGUCUGAACUCUUUAUUUCUUCUUUCUUCAAUUUACUGUAUUCCAUGACCGUAUGUGUGCAGUGAUUUGCUGGGUUUAAAUUAGGUUUGGUGGGUGUAUUUAGAUGGAGGACAAAAUUGGAAAGUUGGUUCCAAAAAUAGCAUUGCUGAGUGUAUCUAGAAAUUUGCUGGGUACAUCUAGCAACACCCUAAAAUAAUUGGAUGUGAACAAUAAAUGCAAAGGAAAAAGCGGGGAAGUGAAUCCUUUUGGGUAUGGAAGGAACCGCUUUCCUUCUUAUUUUCCCUUCACCAAAGUGUUUCCUUUCUUUUUGCAUCCCAAAUACAAGAAAGGAUUACGUUUCCUUUCCCGAUGCUUCAAUUCCACGAACCACACAAGGCCAUAAAUGUCUCUGGGAUUGAUUCAAUAUAAACUUUGCUCAGAUAGAUUAUUACGAUUUUAGACCAAGCUUAAGUCAUUGUCUUUCAGUAUGACAUUGUGAACAUACAUGGAUCUUCUGCUGGUUAAUCAGUGAACAGAGGAUUUGAAGGAAGACAAUUUUAUUUCUUCUUUAAGUGAGCAUAUAGAACGUAGCUAAUGGGAUAUUGUUUAUUACAGGUUUAUCUUUGCUGAAAGUUGGUGGAAGAAUGGUUUAUUCUACGUGCUCUAUGAAUCCAGUUGAGAAUGAGGCUGUGGUUGGUGAGGUAAUAAUAUCUGAUUCAAUUUCUACACAACAAGAUCCAAAAUCUCUCUAAUUUAUACACUUUUGAAAAUAAAAGCCACAGGAUUGCAUCAUUUUCUUUUCUGCAACUUUGCAUAGAAAAGUUUUGUGCACUUCUUUAAUUUGAUCUGAAUUGACCACCAUGAUUGCAGAUUUUGAGGAAAUGUGGGGGAUCUGUUGAGCUCAUUGAUGUCUCCAGCGAGCUUCCUCAACUUGUCAGGCGGCCAGGUCUUAAAAGAUGGAAGGUUAGUUGUUGGUGUUUACGUUGUUAUAUUAGUGAGUUCUGAUGAAAGUAUGAUGUGCAUUGUUGAAUAAAAAGCUGAUCAACCACUUUUGUGUAAUGUAAAUUUUCUUUCUUGGUUUACUGAAACGGAUGGGAUGAAUGCUGAUAUCAUUCUGUGAUGCUAAAAUCAUGUUUGAUGCUAUGUCUUGUAACCACUGAAGUAAUAUGGGACUAAAGUAUCUUUGCUAGAAAUUUUGUUCGACAGGAAAACUUAAGGAGAAAUGCCACAUAGUCUGUUCCCGCAUGAUUUCAUAAAUUGCAAGAUAUUAUAUAUGCUACAGUAAUGUUAGGUGGAAAAUUUUUGUUCUACUUGGCUGCUUGGUUAUGUAUCAAUUAGCUUGGUUAUGAAUCAGUUAGAUGAAUAUUUAAACUUUGUAUCUCGUAGUUCCCAUAUUCAACUACAUUUCCUAUCUUCUCAGGUGGCAUCAUAGGUCUCUGAUAUAGUGGUCUUAAUUCAGCAAUGUUGCUUGCAGAUUCAACUUUCAUUCAUUGUAUACUUUUAAACUUUUCAGUCACUUCGCAUUUCAGGUACGUGACAAGGGCAAAUGGUUAGCUUCAUCUAAAGAUGUCGGCAAAUAUCGCACAAAUGCCAUUGGCCCUGGCAUGUUUCCAUCUGGAAGAAACCUUGCACGAUCAAUGGACCACAGUGGUAGUAUGGAACAGGAUGAAAAGCAUGAGAAUGGUGAAGAUGAAAAUGUUGUAGAAGUAUUGCAGUCAAGUGAGGAUGCUGUAAUCUCUGACGAUGAGGAAGUUUCUCCUUUUCCACUUGAACGGUGCAUGAGGAUAGUUCCACAUGAUCAAAAUGGUGGAGCUUUCUUCAUUGCAGUCCUCCACAAGCAUUCCCCUUUGCCAGGUGACAUCUAUCAUCCAAGUCAUUGGAGUUUUUUUAAGAAUUGGAUUGCUUAUUUUGUAGUGUCUUAUUAUGGUAUGAAUUGGGUGAAAUCCAUCCCUUGUACUCUUUGUUUUUCUAAGUAUAGUUUCCUUUCUUUUGCAUGUUGAACAGCCAAUCAAGGGACAGCUAACCAUCUUGAAGGGGCCUUGUGUUCUACAAUUAACGAGCAAAUCGUAAAUUUACCAACUCUGGAUACUGAAAAUACAAAUGGGUUACUAGCUAGUUUAGCAGAUGAUACAGAUGAGACAAUUACAGAAGCUGCCUCAGAGGCAGAGUUAAUUGAGGGUGAACAAGAUGGGGUUACCUUGGAACUCGAUACUUCUGGUAAGAGUGAAGAAAAUGGAUCAGAGGCAAACCAAGUGCCUGAUGAUGGGGAAGCCGAUCCAAAGAAAACUCGAGGAAAAAGAAAGCAGCUUCAAGGUAAGUGGAAAGGAGUGGACCCUGUUGUUUUCUUUAAAGAUGAAGCCGUCAUCAAUGCCAUAAAGACAUUUUAUGGAAUUGACGAAUCAUUUCCAUUCAACGGCCACCUUGUCACAAGAAACAGUGAUACCAAUCAUGUGAAGAGAAUUUACUAUGUCUCAAAGCCAGUUAAAGAUGUUCUUGAACUGAAUUUCUCUGUUGGAGAGCAACUUAAGAUAACAUCCAUUGGGCUUAAGAUGUUUGUAAGUAUUUCCAAUCUGAACAUUUUUUUUCUUGUUCUUUGAAAUAAAGUCCUGUCAUAUGCUUCUAGAGACAUGGUUAAAUUAAGUAGUGCAACAUUUUCAUGCUCGGAUAAGUUAGAUGUGGCACAUGACUUCUGCUCUUCUUCAUGAUGGCUUGCUAAAAUCCCAUAUUUGGAGAAAAUGUUGGAGAAAAUACAAGAAGACUAAAAGAUAGUUAGAAGAAAGAGGAAAAGAACAGAUAUAAUAGAAAAAGUGGGCAGAGGACCCCAUGACGUGCACCUGAAUUAUAAGAUUUUAUCUGUGUUGUUAUUAAAGAAUAAAAUUGAACUUUAAUAUCCUUGAAGUGUUGAAUCUGUAUCUAGAUAUUUUAUUUUCAUCCUAGGUUCUUUAUCCGAGUUAAAAUUUCUGCUGCAGUCCUGGUAUUGAUGAACUACUUUUUAUAUUCAUCUCUGUUGUUUAAAUACAGUAAUAUUAAGUUAUCUCUAUCUAAUUUGACCUCCUCUAUAGGAACGACAAACAGCAAGUGUUGCAAGUUGUGCACCUUGUGCAUUCCGGAUAUCAUCUGAAGGAUUGCCACUUAUUCUUCCGUACAUCACCAAACAGAUACUAUAUGCAUCCCCCGUUGACUUCAAGCAUAUUCUUCAAUAUAAAAGUAUCAAGUUUUCUGAUUUUGUUGAUGCUGAAUUUGGUGCGAAGGCAUCGGGUUUAAUGCUGGGUUGCUGUGUGUUAGUUUUGGGCAAAGGUACACAGCAUCAUGUUGUGAAGGAUAGUUGUGGCGAUUUAUGUGUAUAUUAAGUUUUUUACCAUAACUAUGUUUUAUAUCUACAGAUGGAAAAUCCACGUUGGAUCCUAUUCAGGUAGACGAGUCAACAAUAGCCAUUGGAUGCUGGAAAGGUAAGAAUAGUUUGUCUGUGAUGGUCACUGCACUCGACUGCCAAGAACUGCUGGAAAGGCUUUUGAUGCGCAUUGAGACUAGAAACGGAAAUUUGGUGAGUAAAGACGAGGCUUCUGAUGGUAAGGUGGAUGUGGACAUGAAGGAUAUGGAAAAGGUAAGUACGACAGUAGCAACCGAAGGAUAAGUGACAACUUUUGGGUUUGCAGACUAGUUGUUCCUUGAUUAGAUUAUUUGAGAUGGGUGUUCUAAUUAGAUCUGCGUUUUCUCUUUGUUCUUUUUGACAUGAAAGAUCAUAUUUUGUAUUGUCAAGGUGGUUCAUGAUCUGAUAAAAAGGAGCAAAUUUGGAAUGUUUGGCUUUUGAAAAUGAUCUCUUUCGAAGUUGUUUUGUUGAUUUUUCUUUCAUCAAGAUCACAUGUAUGCUAAAAAAAAACACGGAAUCUUUAAACACCAUUUGCGUCCGAAGAUUAAAAACUGAACUUGGGGUGAAUAGAGCUCAACCACAAUUAUGUUACUCUUUAAUUGAACUCGAGGAAUAUUCAUAUAAAUUACAUAAGUAUUUUGAGUACUUCUAGCAAAUUCUACUCUACUAUUAACUUUUGAGUACUAGGAAAUUUCCAAAUAAUCGAACUUGGAUCAUCAGAAGGCAACGAACAGAGUCGCUUCUUGAUUUGGCUGUCUGAAUGAAGAAUGUGCAUGCUAAUGCCUACCGCAGAAGAUGGAACCAUAUUUAGGAGAAAUUGGAACCGCAACAUUUAAAAUAAAUGAUAAGCUGAUAGGCAGGCACAAACAAACUAAAUCUUUAGUUCAUUCAUCCAUAUCAAACAUGCAAUUAAUCGGCUCAUGCAAACUAAACUAGCAAGGCACAAAAUAUACAAAGAAAAUUGUAUCACACCCCUCAAAAUUUGCUAAUAUCAAGAAUUGUGAAGAAAACAUCCCAUGUUCAGAUAUUGACUAUCAAUUGAAUCACAAUGAUGUACAGCAUUUGCUCUUAGCUGGGAUCACUUGAGCUGGGCCUGGGACGAGGAUCUUCUUACCUGCCAGAGAUGCAGGGUUUCCAUUGCUUUGGUUUUCGCUAGCAGCCAGGUGCUUCUUGUUAACAAUGUUGAAUAUCUCUGUCAACACAGUUGAGAAGGCAGUCUCAACAUUAGUUGAUUCCAAUGCUGAGGUCUCCAAGAAAAAGAGUCCUUCCUUUUGAGCGAAUUCUUUGGCAUCUUCAGUUGGAACUGCACGCUGGUUCUCAAGAUCACUUUUGUUGCCAAUCAGAAUGAUGACGAUAUUCUUGUCGGCAUGGCUACGCAGCUCUUCCAGCCAACGGGGAAUGUGAUCAAAAGUCUGGCGUUUGGUUAUGUCAUAAACCAGCAUUGCCCCAACAGCACCCCUGUAGUAUGCACUUGUGACUGCUCUAUAUCUGUGCAAAACAUCAAAACAGAAUCAUCAGUUGUCAAUACACCAUUGGUACAAGUUAACAGGAGCUGCAACCCCAAAAAAGAAGUUAACAGGAGUUAGGAACAACAAUACAUCUAGUUUAAAUAUGCAACCAGUAUAACUUAUAAUGAUGCAAUCAAUUUUCUUUAACAGAAGCUUGAAAAGAAAAAGAAAAAAACAUGAGAACAGGAUCACCUCACUUCGAACCCUAGUUCAUACUUUUUAUUUUAUUUUUUGGUCUGAACUAGUUCAUACUUAUAAACCUACCAGAGAGAAGCAGCAUUGCAAUAAAGAACUAUAACCUUGACAAACAUAACCAACCAGUUUAACUGUCAAUAUAAAUGGAAAUUGAUAAAUCCAUGCUCAAUCAUGUACUGUUAUGAACAUAAAACAUUCUUGCUGCAAUCAUCCGUUCCAUCCUCCCCGAAAUAGAUUAACUCUGACAUACCUUACCCACUUAGGUCAAUAUCUGGAAUUACUAGGCAAAGUAAUCAAGCAUAAGCAGAGGGAGGGAAUGGUUCUAUAGUGGGGAAAGUCGAAAAGAUAUUAUUCACAUCAUUUCAUGAAGGGAAACAAUACUUAUCACAGUUUACAAUCCACAACAGAGGAAGGCCAAAAGGGUCAAUAGAAGGACCAAAACUAAUACAGAUUCUACAUAACCUAUAAUAUUGUCACCAACUUUGCAACAAGCCAACAAUGCUGCUCAAGCAAUACAUGGACCACACAACGAAAGAGUACCAAUACAUUCAUACCCUUUAGGGUCCAUAUGGAUGGAGUUAAUUGUAAAAGAGGAUUGACAAUAUUAAAUUAGUUUAAACUAAACACACACACACACACACACAUUGUAUAGUACUUUAAAUAACCGAUACUUUACUGAAAGUAAAUUAAACACCGGAUACAAUACAUGUAAAAUGGUUCUUAACAAUCAUAUGAAAAGAUUCAUUUGAAAUCAUUUGUUUUUUUCCUUUUAAUUCAAAUCCAUACAUAGAAACACUAUAAUCAAGUAACUUGAUCCUUAUAAUGUCAACUAAAUCCCUAGAUUUCAGAUCAAUCCAUCAAAUGCAGCCUUCAAAUUUCUAAUCAUUCUAGUCGACAACCAUGUCUAUAACCCCAUUACUAGAACAUUAUUGUAACACCAAACAAUGGAUCUAAAAUUCUCAAAUCACAGGUCAUACGAAAUUUGAUAUCAAAUCUCUACUGUGUUGGGAUAUCGGCCAAUUAUGUAUGUCAAGAAACCCCAAAAGAACACAGCAAACCAAGAGAAACAACCACAGAGAUAAGACACAAAGAACACAUAUUUAAGGUGGUUCAGCAAAACCUUUGCCUACAUCCACCGGCAGAAAACACUUCCACUAUAUUAAUAAUGGGUACAGAAGAAAGAAUAAGAAAACAAUGACUCUCUCACUUCUCUUCCUAUCUCUCUCCUCUCUGCCCUCUCUCACCCUCUAACCGAGAAUGGAACACACUUUGCUCUUUGUCUCUACGAUACAAAACCUAGAGCUGACCCCCUCCUUAUAUAGCCAUAAGGAUAUCAGAUCUCUUCACCAAAUAGGAAAUCCAAUCCUAUUAGUGGUAGGCAAUAAUACCUCCUUCCUUCUCUGUAAUCAACCAAGAUUACAGGUAUACCAUCAUCAAUAAGGAUAUCCUUUCCUUAUUGGAACACCAUACUCCAAGACGAAAUAUCUUAGGAAAAACACAUGGGCUGGAAACUCAACAUACUGCUAAUCCAUCCCUAUAAUCUUUUUCUUCUCAAAACAAGAAAACAUCAUCCAACACACCAAUGCAACACUUCCUCUGCAAUUCACUUCAUACAUCUCAAAACAAAACCAACCCAAAAAAAGGAACCAACUACAACUUAAAACCCGCUAGAAAUGUUGCAAAACUAUCAAACCCCAAGAACCCAUGUACAUAAUUGAUAAUUAAACAACACACAAAAAAAAANAAAAAAAAAAAAAAACACAACAAAAAGCAAAAGCAAAGAGUAAAACAGAAACCUUUCUUGGCCAGCAGUGUCCCAGAUCUGAGCUUUAACACUCUUGUGCUCUAUAACCAGAGUCCGGGUCUGAAACUCAACACCAAUAGUGGCCUUAGAAUCCAAGCUGAACUCGUUCCUUGCAAACCUGGCGAGUAUCUGAGACUUACCCACCGCCGAGUCCCCAAUCAGCACAAUCUUGAACACAUAGUCUAUCUUCUGGCUCGAAUCUCCAUAGCUCGCCAUUUUAACCAAACCAAACCAAACCCAGAUGAAUGAAGCUCCCAAGUCUUUAAAGGAUUGAAAUUUAUUGAACUGGGUCUGGCAGAGGGGAUUCAAGACUUCGAAAGACUCCACCUUUACCUUUGUAAGGGACAAUUAUGUGAGGUGGGGAAUAUGUGGCGGGUUCCACCGUAACAACCGUGAGUCCACCAACUGGAGGAAGGUAGUGACACGUGAAGGGAAUUUAGUGGCGGGAAUGGUGUGGUGUUGGGGUGUAGUGUGGAGCUUGUUGGAUAGGAUUGCAGUUGAGGAAUGGGGAGUAACGAGCGGAUGUCUCGGGUGAGUUGUCGUGUCUGCUAUUCUGUCUUCUUUGACGGUCAUGCCGAUCCUUCUUUUUAUGUUGCCUAGGGGCACACCCAAAUUCAUCUCUUUGGAAACUUAGACUGGUUUGGUCUCGAGGUGAAAGAUUUAAAAGCAUUACAUGGUCUUAGUUGUACUGUAAAAAUAAUUAGCUACGAAAUUAAAUAAUAAAGUAUUUAGUAAAGAAUAAUUAAGUUUAAUCUAAAAAAAUUAUGAAAUUAAGUACGGUGUUAUUCAUGAUAUUUGUCAGCCCGAUAACAAUGUUUAAUAAUAAGGCAAAAAUUAUAAAUAAUUCUCGUGGUCUGAGAUCGUGAAUAUAUAUAUGUUUGUCACCGUUGUGAAAAAAUUUUUAAUCUUGGUCAUUGUGGUUUAUAUAUCGAUUAAUUUUGAUCCAGUUAUAACAUUUUGUCUAACACUGUUAGUGAGGUUCUCACAUACCCGUCACAUGCUAGGUUAAUUCGUCGUUUACCUUUAGAGCUUUGUAUCAUAUUAAUUUCAAUCAAUUUAAUUUUGUCUUUUGAUUUAAAUCAUGUAUUACUCUCUUUAAUUUAAAUCACUGAUCGAUAUAAUCCUCAUUCACCUUUACUACUUAGGGCUACAGGAAUUUCAAAUGACUCCAUGAAAACGCAUGAAGUAUUGCAACCAGACGUAACUUAGCAAGUCGACCAUUUCUUAUUUCAAACAUAAGAACUCGUGUGUCAAUUACAUAAGAAAGAAUAAACAACAAUGAAUCAAAUACAUGCAUCAAAUUAAUUAUGAUCAUAAGUUCAUGAUGCUGUCACAUCCCGACCCUUAUAUUUUUACCUUAUUUACUAGCCUGAUUAUAGUAAGAAUUUUACCGUCUCCGUAAUUGAGUAAAUAGUUUAAUUGGUCCCUAGAAGGGUUUCGGGGACGAUUAUGUGCGGAGGAUUAUUCGUAUGAGGAAAAUACGACGACGGUAAAAAUGGUAAAUUUUAGCUAGUAAAAAGUAAUUUUUAUUCGGGUAUUAUUUUUUCGGGGUGUUUUUAUUUUUGGAAGUUUGGGUUAAGUGUUGUGGACCGGUUUGGGGUGAGGCCCAAAACCCUUUUUCUCUUCUCCCUCUCUCCCGAUUUUCUCUCCUCCCACCCGGUUUUCUCCUCUCUCCACCCGGAAAUUUCUCCACCGCCGUCCGCCGCCGUCCGGCCGCCCCAGACCGCCGCACCGGUCCCAAUCGAUCGGUCUUCAACCCAGCAACCUUCUUGGACCGGUGACAGCUCCCCUAACCCCGCCGUGAAGGAGCGGUCAACCCCGAAAGGNNNNNNNNNNNNNNNNNNNNCCUUUUGUUGGAGUUUUUGACGUCAAUUAAUUUUGACGCUUUUAUUUCUCUUAGAGAGUUACCGAAAAUGGGAUUUUUCGGUGAAUAUAAAUAUGUAAUUAUGAGAGAGUAUGUAUAGGAAAUGCUAGCUAGCCAUAUGUGUCUGUCCACCUUAAUGGCGUAGCAUAUAGCCGCAUUAUGGUGUGACGUGAGCGUUGGACGUAAGCGUAGUAGCCCUAUUUGAGUGUUUAAUUCAUAUAGGGGGUAUGGACACAUAUUUAUACACCCGUCUGUCCACCUUGAUGGCGUAGUGUAGCAUUGCAUUAAGGCGUGACGUGAGCGUUGGACGCGAGCGUAGUAGCCCUAUAUAGACCCAUGAAUUUAUAUAGGGAGUAUGAACGAGUGUAAAUACAUACAUAUAUUAUAGAGUCUGAGAGGCUCGAUAUUUUAUGGGAUAAAAGUUUUAUCGCUUGCGGCAUGCAUUCGAUUUUUCCUUAGAAAUUAAUUUGGGGAAACAUAAAUAUUUUAUUUAUUAUUUUAUUUUUGUCCACUCACUCUAACGUUAUUAAAUGUUUUCCCCUGGGCCCUUCGUUUUAAAUUGCCCAGUCUGCAGAGUUCGGGUUGGAUCUAGUAGGAGACGAGGCAUAGUCACCCGCAUUUCUGCCAGUUUUCGCCAGUAGGUUACCUGUUCAACCUACUCGUGUUUUCUUGCUUCCGCUUGUGUUUAGUAGCUCUGAAUACUUUAGAAUUUUUGUAUAUUAUGUGAUGUUCAGAAGUGUUAAAUUAAGAGUGUAAUACGAAAUUUUCGAGUUAGGGUUGUCCAUCUGCAAGGGAGAUUUUUCUUAAUCUUUUCAGUAAAUUUUCCUUGGAGGUGGUCCCCGCACGACUUACUCUGGGUUUCAGGGUGAAAUUCGGGGUGGGUCGUGUCAGAUGCAGUGAUCGAUAGACAAAUGAUGUUGCACCAACAAAGUUCCCCAUCUCAUAUAAACAUGAAUGAUUCUUUCAAAUCGAAAUCCCCCAUUUCAAGAGUUCCAUAUCAAUUUUGAGGCUUCAAAUAUUCCCCGUCGGCCGGGCCUUUCUUUUCUGAUAAUUCCAAAUCAUUUUAGCUCGGGAACAUUCAUUUUAAUUAGCUCGGUAGUGGGUUAGAGUAAAACAAGUAAUGGGUUACAGACGUUUAAAGGCAAAAGACAAAAUUAACCUAGCAUGAGACGAGUAUGUGAGAACCUCAUUAACACUGUUAGAUGAAAUAUUAUAAUUAGACCAAAUUUAAUCGAUAUAUAAAACACGAGGACUAAAAUUAAACAUUUUUAAACCACGAGGGAAAACAUUCAUUACCCCAAACAACGGGGACCAUUAAAAUAUGUAGGGGUUUCGGUAAAAUAUUGUAUAGUCAUUAUUGUUUAAAAUCGAUAUCUGUUCAGUCCUUAUAGUUUUAUUUUAAUAUGAAUGGUUCUUAAAGACACGAUUUUUCAUUCAAAUGGUCAUUCCAUCAAUUUUUAACAGCCACGUCAGUAUUCUAACAAGAAAAAUUGACAGAUAGACCAUUUGGAUGAAAAAUCGUGACUUUAAGAAUCAUUCAGAUUAAAAUAAAACCACAAGAACUGAACAUAUGUCGACUUCAAACUAUAAGAACUAAACAAGUUUCAAUUCUAAUAUAUAUCAUACUAUUUGUGAUUAAUUUUACUUCUUGAUAAAUAUAAACGACUCUCAUGAUCUUUCUUGUUGAAAAAAAUCUUCAAAUGAUUGACUCGAGUGCAAAGAAUCGUUGUAAGUUUUGAAACACCUUAGAUGUCAAAAUUAUUUAUACAAAAAUCUUAUGCUCAGGAAUAAUUCAUUUUAAAUCGAUUAUUAAAUGAAGAUUGUAGGUGUAAUAGAGGAGUUGUGUGAAUGAAGACAGCAAGUUGUAAGUUUCAUUUAUCUGGUGGGAUACAUUUGGGUUUCAACUUUCAAGAAAGUAAAGGGACACAUGCAUUAUUUGUGCAUGAUCAUUUGAUAAUCAGACACCAUCCAUUUUCGAGCACUUCCACAAUGUUUCUGAUUCUUUUUCGAUUCUGGAAUUAAAAUGUGAGCGUCCCAUAAUUUUGUAUAUAUAGGGGCGAAAUGUUCAUAUGAACCCAAAAGAGACCUAAAAUAGAGGCGUAAACAUUAAAUCUUAAGAGAACUUAGGUAACUUUAAGAUGUAUUUGCUAGAAGAAAGGAAAGAAGAAAAAACUCACUAGUCCCCAUGUAGGUCCGCCGGUGACACAUAUUUGUUGUCACUUGUGUGAGAGAGUUUUUUUUUUUUUUUUGGAGAGGUGGUUCAGGAGAGUUACUGGCAAAAUAUGUAUGGUUGGUCAGUACAUAUAUGCUUCGUUUGGUUUACGGAUUGGAGAAGUUAGGAAGGGAAAGUUGUUCCUUUCCUUUGUUUGGCACACUUAUAGAAAGGAAAGACUUUACUGCAAUAUGGGAAAAUAGAUGGGAAAUUGAAUCCUCCCACUUACCAUGGGGAUGCAAAUUUGCUCCCCACCCAUACUUCCCUGCCCUCAUCCCCACCCACCUAGUUGAACACCACAUAUCCUAUCUUUUAAUCACACUAACCAUAAUUNNNNNNNNNNNNNNNNNNNNNNNNNNNNGUUUGUUGUGUGUGUGUAGAGAGUCUGCUCGAACUCCUUUAUAUAGAAUUACUUAAGGCCACAGGUAUUGGCCCAAAGCAUGUCAAAGACUUGUAGGAGUCUUCAAUGAUAAACGUGGCGUAGACGAUGUUAAUCACUGUUGGCCGUGAUUAUCCUUUGGCGAAGUAACUAACUGCCUCUGUCUAGAAGACUUGAGUUAGAACACCUCAUGAUGACUUUGGACGUGUGCUACUGGAUGCUUUUUCCUUAUCCAAUUGAGACAUUGUAGGGAUAGAUAUUACUGUAUUGUUAUUAUCCCAAAGGCAUCAAAAUUGCCUUAGAAUGCUAACCCUUGAACGCGAAUGUCAUGCAGGCACAAUGAUUGCCUUCUAACACGACUCUCUGGACGUGGACGUAUGCCCAUGCAACCAUAUAUGAUAACUUGACAAGGACAAAAAACCUUACUGACCACAUACUCUCUAGCAUGCAUGUUCACGUACUGACUCGAUCAUGCAAUUAAACACUGCUCCAUUCUUUAUUCAAGGGAACGACGGGAUGCUGGCGAGAUUCUCAUAAGCCAUGCACGGGUCGUGUCAAGAUGUUUAUUAAUUAAAGAAGACAUCACCUCCGAUUACUCAUGCGAGAUCGCUCCUUCAAACAAUUAAAGAUAAUUGCCUCUUAUCUAAUCAUGUUGGCGGCUCACAGUUCACGUCCUUCUCUUAGUACCACACGAAAUCUUCUCAUGUCAAGUCAACUCUGCGCCAACCUCAAUCGAGCUCGCAUGACUUUGUAGGCGAGGUGACCCGCCUCCAGUAAACCCAAUAUUACUCAGGCUCGUCGGUGUGGACCAUGAAUUUAAUUAACAUUCACUUUAGACAAUUACUGUUCAGUAAAAUAUUAAUUUGGGUGUAAACAUUGCCCCCCAGCCUCGAAGUCAUGAAUGUAAAAAAUGACUGAAGAGGUUUAUGUUUCAUGCUGCUCUAAAGCCACUGGUAUUGGCUCGGUUCAUACAUCAAAUGACUGUGAGUAAACAAGCCUGUGAAUAGGCUCUAAAACUCAAGUAUAUAUUCAACAACAAAGCAUUGUAGGGAAGCUACUGUACGAUUUGCUUAGUACCGUAUUAAACUGAUGAUCAUGAAUUAGGUACCUUGAACUUGAACUUAACGUGCACUUCGCUUGCUCUACUCUUAAAGACAUUGUACUAUGCAUGUACCUCGAGUAGAUAAUGUCCUUGAAGGAAUGUACCCCGCACGGAUGUACCUCGAGCUCGAGUAGAUGAUGCCCUUAAGAGGAUGUCCUCGCGGCCAAAACUUGUUGACUCGUCAUGGACUUGUUGACUCGCCAUGGAUGUACCUCGAAGGGAUACAUUUGAAAAUGAACCGUCUGACCUCGAAGGGAUAUACCUUGAACGGAUGCACCUCGAAGGGAUAUACCUUGAAUAGAUAUAGCUCGCUUCGCUGCUCCCCAGUGUGAAUUAAUGAGAGUCGAGCACAAGACACUUCGCUGCCCCCCUGUGCAAACCGAUGAGAGUCAAACGAUUUUUUUUUAGAGGCCACAGGUGUUGGCCUAAAUAAUGACCAAGACGCCUCAAGAAGGGUCUAAAGUCUGAAAUAUUUUUUUAGAGGUCAGAGGUGUUGGCCUAAAUAAUGACCAAGACGCCUCAAGAAGGGUCUAAAGUCUGAAAUAUUUGGAACACAUCUCUAUCCCAUAUGUUUUGGCCACUGGGCGUGAUAAUGUUUUGGCCACACCAGUAAGUCUGGGCGUGCAAAGUCUCUUUUUGUUGUUGCGGGCGUGCCACCGCGCGGACGCGGAAUGUAGUGGUUGUAGUAGCGGGGUGCACUUAGCCUUCUACUUCUAAUCAAGCGACUGAGGAUGGAGAGAGCACCAACUCCACCGCAGGGUUCUUCAGAUUCGCCUUGCGUACUGGGCAAGGACUUACAGUAGUCCGCCUGAGCGUCACAAUAUCGAUACUCGACGUAAGAUCGAGCAGAGCUUCAAUUGGAAAGGAGAGGAAAAAAGAGAAAGCUCCGGAGAGCGUACGGGGAAACGAAAGGAAAGCUCGGGCGAGCGUCUGAGGUUUGACUAGGUCGAGAAUUGUAUUAUAUUUUGUAGAGUUGAGUUGUUGUAUUGUUUGUUGUGUGUGUAGAGAGUUUGCUCGAACUCCUUUAUAUAGAAUUACUUAGAGCCACAAGUAUUGGCCCAAAGCAUGUCAAAGACUUGUAGGAGUCUUCAACGAUAAACGUGGCGUAGACAAUGUUAAUCACUUGUUGGCCGUGAUUAUCCUUUGGCGAAGUAACUAACUGCCUCUGUCUAGAAGACUUGAGUUAGAACACCUCAUGAUGACUUUGGACGUGUGCUACUGGAUGCUGUUUCCUUAUCCAAUUGAGACAUUGUAGGGAUAGAUAUUACUGUAUUGUUAUUAUCCCAAAGGCAUCAAAAUUGCCUUAGAAUGCUAACCCUUGAACGUGAAUGUCAUGCAGGCACAAUGAUUGCCUUCUAACACGACUCUCUGGACGUGGACGUAUGCCCAUGCAACCAUAUAUGAUAACUUNNNNNNNNNNNNNNNNNNNNNNNNNNNNNNNNNNNNNNNNNNNNNNNNNNNNNNNNNNNNNNNNNNNNNNNNNNNNNNNNNNNNNNNNNNNNNNNNNNNNNNNNNNNNNNNNNNNNNNNNNNNNNNNNNNNNNNNNNNNNNNNNNNNNNNNNNNNNNNNNNNNNNNNNNNNNNNNNNNNNNNNNNNNNNNNNNNNNNNNNNNNNNNNNNNNNNNNNNNNNNNNNNNNNNNNNNNNNNNNNNNNNNNNNNNNNNNNNNNNNNNNNNNNNNNNNNNNNNNNNNNNNNNNNNNNNNNNNNNNNNNNNNNNNNNNNNNNNNNNNNNNNNNNNNNNNNNNNNNNNNNNNNNNNNNNNNNNNNNNNNNNNNNNNNNNNNNNNNNNNNNNNNNNNNNNNNNNNNNNNNNNNNNNNNNNNNNNNNNNNNNNNNNNNNNNNNNNNNNNNNNNNNNNNNNNNNNNNNNNNNNNNNNNNNNNNNNNNNNNNNNNNNNNNNNNNNNNNNNNNNNNNNNNNNNNNNNNNNNNNNNNNNNNNNNNNNNNNNNNNNNNNNNNNNNNNNNNNNNNNNNNNNNNNNNNNNNNNNNNNNNNNNNNNNNNUUUGAAAAUGAACCGUCUGACCUCGAAGGGAUAUACCUUGAACGGAUGCACCUCGAAGGGAUAUACCUUGAAUAGAUAUAGCUCGCUUCGCUGCUCCCCAGUGUGAAUCAAUGAGAGUCGAGCACAAGACACUUCGCUGCCCCCCUGUGCAAACCGAUGAGAGUCAAACGUAUUUUUUUUUAGAGGCCACAGGUGUUGGCCUAAAUAAUGACCAAGACGCCUCAAGAAGGGUCUAAAGUCUGAAAUAUUUUUUUUAGAGGCCACUGGUGUUGGCCUAAAUAAUGACCAAGACGCCUCAAGAAGGGUCUAAAGUUUGAAAUAUUUGGAACACAUCCCUAUCCCAUAUGUGCCCCUCAGUUUUGAUGUCUGUUCGACGAAUAAAGGACAUCAAAACUUUAGUAUGCCCCCUGUGAAGGAGUUGUAGUACCAUGUAUCAUUGAAGUUAGCAAACACCGAACAAGGUCGUGGAUCGGCCUUGAAUAGAUCCCGGUGUAUGAAUAAAGGUACACAAAACUUAUAUGAAUGCCCCCCAGUAAAAGAAAGCAUGCUGCAAGGUCAUGAAAACACAUUGAAAAUACACAUUGCAAAUUCGCGCGUAUCCUGACCUGUCUGCAUUCAAACUGCCAUAACUCUCUCCAGGAAUGUCGGAAUGACGAACCGUAAAAUCCUCUGGAAAAUAGACAUCCAGAGCUUUCUGGGGAUAUAAGGCUCGCCUGCUAGUUCUUCCUGGAUCAUUCCAUUUUAAUCGGCGAAGGCGACUGUCCUGUAGUGGAUGUUGCAACUUUCAGCAACUAUUGGAAUUUCUUCUCUGACUCGACUUCGCUGGCAGCAAUUCAAGACAUAUGGAAUGCCUUCUGUAUUGUCUCCAGGCCUCAGGGAUAGGCCUCAAAUAAAGUUUAAGCCUUUUGUAGGCAAAAACAUUGUCUUGCAUUUCAGCAAAACUAAGAAUCUCUUUUUGGUGUUUUCUGCUAUUUGAUUUUUUUUGUAUUUUCUUUUUUCAAUGCGAGAAAGAAAGAAAAAUGAAAGCAAAUAGAAGUAAAAACUAAAGUAAAGCUAGGAGCAAAGAAAAGAAGAGAGUAUAGCAUGGCUAGUUACCCUUCGUAAGGCCACNNNNNNNNNNNNNNNNNNNNNNNNNNNNNNNNNNNNNNNNNNNNNNNNNNNNNNNNNNNNNNNNNNNNNNNNNNNNNNNNNNNNNNNNNNNNNNNNNNNNNNNNNNNNNNNNNNNNNNNNNNNNNNNNNNNNNNNNNNNNNNNNNNNNNNNNNNNNNNNNNNNNNNNNNNNNNNNNNNNNNNNNNNNNNNNNNNNNNNNNNNNNNNNNNNNNNNNNNNNNNNNNNNNNNNNNNNNNNNNNNNNNNNNNNNNNNNNNNNNNNNNNNNNNNNNNNNNNNNNNNNNNNNNNNNNNNNNNNNNNNNNNNNNNNNNNNNNNNNNNNNNNNNNNNNNNNNNNNNNNNNNNNNNNNNNNNNNNNNNNNNNNNNNNNNNNNNNNNNNNNNNNNNNNNNNNNNNNNNNNNNNNNNNNNNNNNNNNNNNNNNNNNNNNNNNNNNNNNNNNNNNNNNNNNNNNNNNNNNNNNNNNNNNNNNNNNNNNNNNNNNNNNNNNNNNNNNNNNNNNNNNNNNNNNNNNNNNNNNNNNNNNNNNNNNNNNNNNNNNNNNNNNNNNNNNCCGCUGUUUUGGGAAAUUUUGUGGUUUUUGAUAUAGAAUAUUAAGGGGAUAUUAUUGAGGUGAAUUUUGGAAUUUUUGGAUGAGAUUUGGAUAGGUUUGUGAAUUUCCGAAGUGUGGUAUUUUUGGCAGUUAAUUAAUGUAGAAUCCGGCCGUAGGAUUUAAGUCGUAUUUUGGAGAGGUUGUAUUUACGACUGUUGAGUAUGAUAUUUAAGUUCGGAUCGUUCCGAUUUAAGAAUAUCGAAGUUAGGCAAUGAUGAGCGUAUUUAUGGCUCUCGGGUAAUUUUUCCUAUUUUGAUUGAAUAUUGGAUUAUUCGUUUGGAAAUUAAUAUUAUAUUUGGAACAGGACGUGAGGAGGCUCGAGCAGACGAGGCCCCAGAUCGACAUCAGGCUUAGGCCUAAUUUGUGAGUGGACUUUUAUUUGAAAUAAUAUAUAUGCUAUGGUUCAUGAUUGAACAUUUCCUUUUGUUGGAGUUUUGACGUCAAUUAAUUUUGACGCUUUUAUUUCUCUGAGAGAGUUACCGAAAAUGGGAUUUUCGGUGAAUAUAAAUAUAUAUAUAUAUAUAUGAGAGAGUAUGUAUAGAAAAUGCUAGCUAACCAUAUGUGUCUAUCCACCUUAAUGGCGUAGCAUAUAGCCGCAUUAUGGUGUGACGUGAGCGUUGGACGUGAGCGUAGUAGCCCUAUAUGAGUGUUUAAUUCAUAUAAGGGGUAUGGGCACAUAUUUAUACACUCAUCUGUCCACCUUAAUGGCGUAGUGUAGCACCGCAUUAAGGCGUGACGUGAGCGUUGGACGCGAGCGUAGUAGCCCUAUAUAGACCCAUGAAUUUAUAUAGGGAGUUUGGACGUGUGUAAAUACAUACAUAUAUUAUAGAGCCUGAGAGGCUCGACAUUUAUGGGAUAAAAGUUUUAUCGCUUGCGGCAUGCAUUCGAUUUUUCCUUAGAAAUUAAUAUGGGGAAACAUAAAUAUUUUAUUUAUUAUUUUAUUUUUGUCCACUCACUCUAACGUUAUUAAAUGUUUUCCCCUGGGCCCUUCGUUUUAAAUUGCCCAGUCUGCAGAGUUCGGGUUGGAUCUAGUAGGAGACGAGGCAUAGUCACCCGCUUUUCUGCCAGUUUUCAUCAGUAUGUUACAUGUUCAACCUACUCGUGUUUUCUUGCUUCCGCUUGUGUUUAGUAGCUCUGAAUACUUUGGGAUUAUUGUAUAUUAUGUGUAGAAUUUCUGAAGGAUGAUUAUGUGAUGUUCGGAAGUGUUGAAUUAAGAGUGUAAUAUGAAAUUUUCGAGUUAGGGUUGUUCAUCUGCAAGGGAGAUUUGCUUAAUCUUUUCAGUAAAAUUUUCCUUGGAGGUGGUCCCCGCACGACUUACUCCGGGUUUCAGGGUGAAAUUUGGGGUGGGUCGUGUCAGAUUUUGUGUGUCAACCACCUGAAAAUUUGAAGAAAGUAGCUCGUAGGGACUGCUUUGUUGCCCCCCGAGCAUCUUUGUCAUUUGGCACAGCAUGAUGUUCAAUUGGAUCCUUGCGGACAAUAUGGUGUAAAGAUCUGCCUUGUCACCGACUAUCAUGUCAUAAUGCAUGGUCUUAUCUGGUAUAGCCACGCAUUGGUCACGGAAGGGGACCAUAUCAAGAGCUUCACUAGGAUUAAACUCUUGUGGAAUAUGAUUAUGAGACAAACGCACCAACAUAUAGUCUUCAUCAUAUUCAUCAUAAAUUGGCUCUGUGUCAAAAUCAAAGUUGGAGUCACCAUAGUCCAGCGAAUCCACCUCUGCCUCUAAUGCAAAUAUAUGAAAUCCAUGAGCAUCAUGUUUAGAUGCCACCAAGUCCCUGCUGCAUACUAGAGUGAGAUGACCCUGAGAAUACUCGACUUUACACCCAUGUAUAAUAAACUUGCCAUUCUGGGUGUAAAAACGUUUUCCACAUACAAUACUAAAGCCAUAAUUUGGCCUUUGAACUUGCAUGCAGAGACUCCAAUUAUAUUGGAGUGUGAAGCCACGGAUUGGCCUAGGUACACCGCCAUACCAUGUAUAAUUAAGCUUGUCAUGACUCUGGGCCACUUCUUGACAAGGUACAGUGGGACAAAACUUGAGUUGAUCAUGCCCUUGAUCAUGGUGGUGGAUUAAAGAAAGAAAGCGAGUUACGCCUUGCCCCCCAUGCAUCUGACCUGUGUCCACAUAUAUGUCUCGCAUAGGAAAGUUUGCUCCUAGGUCACCUUUCAUGUGAAUUUGUGGUUCGCCAUCAUCAGUGUUCGAACCAAUUUCGUCUUCUAAGAUGGAUUGUUCUAUCCUAUCUUCAUGCUCCUUUUUCUGAGGAACACCGUCAGUUUUUGAGAUAGAAUGAUUAUCCAUAAUCUCAACGGCCUCGACCUCAGUUUCUUCAUCAUUGAUUGACAAAGUAGUUUCUUCUUUGGACGUGGGCUCGUCCAAAGGAAAAUCUUCGCGAAUAGAUUGGAUGCUAGGCAAUUCAAUCUUUUUGGCAAGGACAUGCUCGUCAACUAUAGUCUUUACAUUUUGGCAUUGUAAAGCCUUUUCGAUGUGUAGCUUUACGAGGGACAGUAUUUGUUUCAUUCUUGUUUUUGCCAACCGGUCUUGGAAGGCAACUCGGCGUCGCUGAAACUCUUCCUCAUAGGCCUUCGCCUUAGCCUUUCUGUGUUCUUCAGCCUUCAUGGCCGCAAUCUCCAGCAUGGCCUCCUCUUUUUUCCUGGCAGCCACUCGCUCGGCAUGUCGUUUGGCAUUGGCAGCCAUUGCCUCGACGUAUGCCCUGUCGCUGGCAGCUCUUUCUUCGGCAUAUUUCCUGUCAAUGGCAGCCCAUCUCUUGUCCUAAUCAUGCCAACCCAUUAUGGCAUCUUUGUUUUCGACCGUCGAUCCCAAUGAAGGUGACGUCAGAGACUACCCUGGUCCCACUGGGCGUGCCAAUGUUUUGGCCACACCAGUAAGUCUGGGCGUGCAAAGUCUCUUUUUGUUGUUGCGGGCCUGCCACCGCGCGGACGCGGAAUGUAGUGGUUUUAGUAGCGGGGUGCACUUAGCCUUCUGCUUCUAAUCAAGCGACUGAGGAUGGAGAGAGCACCAACUCCACUGCAGGGUUCUUCAGAUUCACCUUGCGUACUGGGCAAGGACUUACAGUAGUCCGCCUGAGCGUCACAAUAUCGAUACUCGACGUAGGAUCGAGCAGAGCUUCAAUUGAGAAGGAGAGGAAAAAAGAGAAAGCUCCGGAGAGCGUACGGGAAAACGAAAAGAAAGCUUCGGGGAGCGUCUGAGGUUCGACUAGGUCGAGAAUUGUAUUGUAUUUUGUAGAGUUGAGUUGUUGUAUUGUUUGUUGUGUGUGUGUAGAGAGUCUGCUCGAACUCCUUUAUAUAGAAUUACUUAGGGCCACAGGUAUUGGCCCAAAGCAUGUCAAAGACUUGUAGGAGUCUUCAACGAUAAACGUGGCGUAGACGAUGUUAAUCACUUGUUGGCCGUGAUUAUCCUUUGGCGAAGUAACUAACUGCCUCUGUCUAGAAGACUUGAGUUAGAACACCUCAUGAUGACUUUGGACGUGUGCUACUGGAUGCUGUUUCCUUAUCCAAUUGAGACAUUGUAGGGAUAGAUAUUACUGUAUUGUUAUUAUCCCAAAGGCAUCAAAAUUGNNNNNNNNNNNNNNNNNNNNNNNNNNNNNNNNNNNNNNNNNNNNNNNNNNNNNNNNNNNNNNNNNNNNNNNNNNNNNNNNNNNNNNNNNNNNNNNNNNNNNNNNNNNNNNNNNNNNNNNNCAUGUUCACGUACUGGCUCGAUCAUGCAAUUAAACACUGCUCCAUUCUUUAUUCAAGGGAACGGCGGGAUGCUGGCGAGAUUCCCUUGAGAUGCCAUCGAGAUACUCAUAAGCCAUGCACGGGUCGCGUCAAGAUGUUUAUUAAUUAAAGAAGACAUCACCUCCGAUUACUCAUGCGAGAUCGCUCCUUCAAACAAUUAAAGAUAAUUGCCUCUUAUCUAAUCAUGUUGGCGGCUCACAGUUCACGCCCUUCUCUUAGUACCACACGAAAUCUUCUCAUGUCAAGUCAACUCUGUACCAACCUCAAUCGAGCUCGCAUGACUUUGUAGGCGAGGUGACCCGCCUCCAGUAAACCCAAUAUUACUCGGGCUCGUCGGUGUGGAUCAUGAAUUUAAUUAACAUUCACUUUAGACAAUUACUGUUCAGUAAAGUAUUAAUUUGGGUGUAAACAUACAGGAGAUGACUACUUGUAGUUGAGUGAGGCUAUUGGGACCUCUAAAUUUGCUCAUUAGACCUCCUAUGGUUUUUAGUUUUUACACCUCCUAUCAAAUUUUCAAAUAGUAUAUUUACUCACUAAACCUCACUUAAGUUCCUCAAAUAACCUCACUAUAUAAUUUUUAAUAAUGAAUCAUUAUCUCCAAAAUAAAAAUUGUACUCACUAUAAUUAAUUUUUGCAUUUGACAUUUCUUAAGUACGAUUUGAUUCCUUAAUUUAAUAACGUAAAUUUCUUAAAAAUAAAAAUAGAAGCUCAAUGUAUAGGGUUUCAAAAAUUUAUUUUUAACAACAAGAAAAUGUUCUAACAUGAAUUAACGUUUUGUUUUCUAUUGUACCUCUCCUAAACGAAGAUCAAGAAUAUCCAUUUUUUUCUCUAUGUAUNUAAUUUUUUUUUUCAUUUUGAUANNNNNNNNNNNNNNNNNNNNAAUUAAAAGAUAUGACAUGUGACAUUCAACUAGUUCGGGUGGGGAUGAGGGUUGGGAAGUAUGGGUUGGGAGCAAAUUUGCAUCCCAUACCAUGGGAUUCAAUCUCCCUCAUAUUUUUCCAACAUUAAUUGCAUCUUUCAAAUAUUAUUUUAAUGAAUGUUAUUACAAAAUUAUCCAUAAUUUUUUUUGAAUCUUGAAUACUUUAUAUUUUAAUAUGAAGGAUAAUUGGUAAAUUAAUGUUAUUUAUUUUCCUAUCCAUGUAUAAACCAAACAUUGGAAAGGAAAGUAAAAUACAUUUCCUAGUUAAUUUUCCCGACAUUCCCAAACACCUGGUCUGGAAACUAGUGGGAAAUCUACUUUCUUAUGUACAUAGGAAAGACCAAGGAACCAAUUUCUUUUCCAUCAACCAAACGAGGCCAUAGAUCUUCUUUGUUUAUAAUUUACUUUUUCUAUAUUAUAUGAGAAAUUUUAAAUACACACCUCUAAUUUCUUAAUACACACCUCUAUUAUUUUAUAUUUCACAUCAGAUUUUAUAUGUAUGUUUAAUUACAAAAACAAUCCAUCAAUUAUUAGGAAAAAAAAAAAACUUCCUCUCCCUUAAAACCUAACUCUUCUCCACUAUUACUAUGCAUCAAAAGAAAAGAAAUAAAAACCUACUUAUCCAAAAUUACAUCACCUGAAUUUCGUACUACUAUCGUAAUCACAUGUGCUAUUUACCGAUUCAUUUGGUUUUUAUGCUAUUGUACUUCUACUAGUUUCUUAACUUUGAAAAAAUUAUGUAUGUUCAAUUUUUUUUUCUUCAAAUUCAAGCCGAUUGAUGUCAUAUUGGAGAUUUGGAGUUCAAAUAUAAUAUUACUCUUUUGAUUAUAAAUUGAAAAAUAUCAAGAAAAAAUUUCUACCCCGCCCGAUCAAAAAAAAUCUAACAGAAAAUAAAAGAGAAUACAUAAAAAGAGUUGUGAAAUAGUAAAUAUAUAAUAAUUAUAUUAAAUAAAAAAUUAUUAUUAGUUUUAGAUAUUGAGGGUAUUUUAGACAGUUUGGGAUGUAUAUUUAGUAUAACAUUAAAAUGAAAAACUAGAUGAGUAAUGUAUUAAGUAAAAUGUGUGUAUUAAGAGAUUAGGGGUGCGUAUUUAAAAUUACUUUAUAUCAUUUAGUUUUUUUUUUCUUUUUUCUUUUCCGAAGGGUAACAUAUCUAUAACUCCUAUAAGACUAUAAGUUGGUGACGUGGUGGGUGCAAUUAACUUUCAUGAAGUGUCUUAGACGUUACCCUCUCUCCAUGAGAAUGAAUGCUAUGGGCCUAUGGACUAUGGUAUCAUCAGUAGACAGUCGUUGGCGCAUUGUUAGCUGAACUCUUGGAUAUGGCCACACACAAAAAACUAACAAAAAAAAAAAAAAAAACGACUUGGAUAUGGCCGCAGUAAAUGACGUACUAUAUGUCUAUAUCCCACUUCCCAUUCCCCCUAAAUUAGGUUUGGAGGCGCAUGCAUAAUCACAGUAUGAAGAAGAAGAAGACUUGAGGAUCGAUUUCUUGAAACAUAAUCGAUUAUCGGGUUUUAGGCGUUUAGAGGAUCAAUAUGGCGGUUUCAUUUUCAGAUAGAAUUUAGCUAGAAAAUAAAAACGAAGCUAUACCAAACGAGAUCUUAGACUAUCCUUCAAAUCCCCCCCUAGCAGCAAGCCAAGUGGCUUCGGCGUGACCGGAAGGCUAGCCUAGGCCAGGACCGCUGCUGGAUGAGAAAACUUUCAUCAAGAGCUCCUGAAGCGGCCUUUUAGGAGUUUUCUAUUUCGUUGGUGUGCCUUUUGGUUGAUUGCAUGUUCUUAGUUCAUCCUCUAAAAGUCUAAAUUGACACAGUGACGUUGUUAUUGAAUGAACUGAACUUAUUCAAAAAUCGAUCAUGCCAAGUAAUUGGCGACAAUAUGUAUAUAAAACAAGAUUAUGUAUUAGUCCACACAAUCACCUAAAAUUUGGCAUUUGCUUCAUUUGAAGCAUCGACCAAGCCAACCUUAAUCCUAAGUCCUAAUCAUAGUCGUAAGACAAACGAAGUCAUUAGUAAAACAAGAUCAUGUAUGAGUCCACACGAUCACCUAAAUUCUAUUUCAUUGGAUGGAAAAUUCUGCUUUAGCAUCUUCCAUCGUAGGCUAAAUCCUUAACCAAAUUUAGCCUAUAAGACCAUCUUCCACCAUAGGCUAAAAAAUCAAAUUUAGCCUAUGAUUACUCUCACCAUAAGCCAAAUUACAAUUUUCAAAGUAAAAAGCCAAAUUUGGCCUUCCACCUUCCAUAAAAAAAGAAUAUUCUGUGAAAUCUUUUUUUAGCUUACCAAAUUCUCUCACCGUAAGCUAAAUCUUUAGCCAAAUUUAUAACCUUUUGGAUUUAAAAACACUCCCACCAUAAGCUAAAUUCAAAGAUAAAGCCAAAUCUAAUUCUUUUGUCAUAUAUAUGUAAUGUUAUAUUUCUAUGCAUAUUUUUUCUUUUCUCAUAUAUAUAAAUAUAUAUAAUAUUAAAAAUAAUUUGAAACUACAAAUAUUGAGAAGGGCAUGGAUCU